ACCGCCACCACCACUACCUCCCCCACAAACCACCAUCACCACCGCCAUUGCCAUCACCACCAUCGCCAUUGCUAUAAACUUCAUUCAAAUCAAUAAUAAAAUUAUAACAAACUCAAUUAAAAUCUAUACACAAAUUCAGUCAAACUCAAUUAAAUUCAAUUAAACUCCAUCAACUUUAUAACUCUUUUAAAAUCAUUUAAAAUUUAAAUUGAAUACUCCCUCUUAAUAUUACUAUUUAGCUCCAUUUCCUAUAGGAAUCUCUCAUUGCGUAUAACUUUGACUAUCAGUCUCUCUUUCUUUCUCUGUCUUUGUUCGAUUAAUGGGUGGGCUGAAGCCCAAACAAAAGAAGAAAACUACGAGUGAAUGCUUCUGGCCCUAACCACUCUUAAGUUCAGGCAUCUUCAUCUUGCAGCCGAAGUCCACAACAGUGGAGGGAGGUGAAAGUUGAGACCAAGGCCUCUCCUGCAGCCACCGCCACCAGGGAGGCAAUCACAUUACUUUACCUGGUUCAUCUCUCUUAUCUCUCUUAUCUCUCUCUUUCUCUCUCUGAAAUUUUCAAAUGUAUUUGUUUGUUGCAUAUGAAUUUAUACCGUCAUCUACGCGAUUUCUGCUUUUCAUCAAAAUGUGAAGUUUCAGCUGUACCGUUGUUUGCCUUUCUGCAUUUCAUCAACAUCUAUUAUUAGGGAAUUUUCUUGUUAUUUUUCACUUUUGCAGCCAGAAAAGGAAAGAAAGAAAGAAGCUUUAGGUUUUUGCAUUAUUGUAUAUUUCCAAUUGAAUUGAGGGCCAGGAAGGAUCAUAUGGAGAAGCAAUUAAUAGUAGUGUGUUAGGGUGCUCUGUUGGUGUACACAAGCUUGUAAUGAGUGCUUACAUUUGGUCCUAAUGCUAUGUCCUCUGCCACGUCAAUUGGUGUCUAAAACUCAGAAAACCUUUUGGUGUCUUUAGUGUUGUGAAGGACCAAAUAUAAUAAACCUUUUGGUUUAUUAUAUCAUACAUAUAGGUUUUAUAAAAGAAGCAAAUAGCAGGUACCAGCCAAUCGUAGAGAUAACAUUAUGGCUAAUACCUUGUUUUAAUAAUGAAAAUUCUCAUUUCAAGUGAAGAAUGAGGGAAAUUGACAUUUUGAGGACCUGUGUAAAGUAAAAGUCGUUAUGACCAACAAUUUGAGGAAUGAUAUGGGAGAUUUAGAGUUGGGAUUGAUAACGGUUAGGAAAUAAAGUUAUAAACCUCCGGACUCGGCAUAAACAUUAUGGGAACAUCAGCCUCAGGAUCACAUUUUCCCGAACUUGUUUAUAUGGGUUUCUUAUAAAUUUGGAAGUGGGGGCUGUUGUAGUCAUUCUAGCGGAAGAGCUUUUUCAGCAACUAUGUUCAGAAAUAAUACUUAUGUCUUGAAAAAUAUCUUCUCUAUGUUUGUCUUCUGUAAAUUUACACUACUUUUGCGCUUCGCUGGACCAAGUAAUAACAAAAUCAGCAAGAGUUUUUUCAAUGCUAAGUGAUGAGGGGUGUGUAACCAGACAAGAUACUUAUAAUUUAAGUGUGUCUACCUGCAUCAGAUUGGUAAUUAUUUAUGUUAUAUAGCCCAAGUAUGUGAUUGGGAAAUAGAAGCAGAGCUCUUAAUUUAUACCUCAAGUCAAUAAAUGUGAAAAUUUCUCAGUCUAUAUAUUUCUUGAAUAAAGAAGUGUAAUAAGUGUGAAUUUAUUUUUUUUCUUUUGUGGACAAAAGUGUGAAUUGAUCAGUGUGCUGUUGUUGUUUGGAAGAGUUGAGAAAAGAAUAGGAUAAAGCUUAUAUAAGGGAAACCACAGUUCUAAUCUUUCUUGGACAUUGGAUAUGCUGACCUGUGUAUGCUUGCAUUAUUCUUUUUCUGGUUGAAUAGGGGCCAGAGGCCCAACAACAAAAGAACUAACUCACAGUACUUCUGGGCCUUGGGACUCUAACCUGGUCUUCUCUUAGUAAGUGACCAAUAAUAGAGGGAGUGGGAGUGAGAACAGUCAAGAUAGUGCAGCCCAAUUCGAGCUCCAAUCCAUAGUUAGCAGUCCAUCAGCAGCUGCAUUUUUCUACCUGUAAAUGCAAGCCACUUCAGUUUAUAUUAACCGGGUACUAAAUGUAUUCAGCAAUUACAAACAAGCACAGUAAAGGUCAGGAGGGUUUGUUUGUUACUGGAACAGGGAAUAAUUAGAAUCAUAUUAUAUCAAUUUCUAUUAGUUGUUAGAUGCAGCUUACAAGAUCUCACUGGUAUUUUGAUGGUUCUAACUUCUACUUAUGUAGUUGAUUCCGUAUUCUUUCUAUUAACAAUUUUUGGCUUUAGAAAGAUGAUGGUGGAGGAUGGUUUGGAUGCUCAAUAUAGUAAUAUCACGUCUCUAUGGGAAAUGGAAAUCAUCUAGUUUUUCUAUUGAACUGCAAAUAAUGUUACUAUAUAAUUCUUUUUUACUACAUAAUUACUGUCCCAACUCUACUCUUUCAAAGAAAAUUCUUUUUCAUCUUUAACUCGAAAGUCCUGAGUCAUCUACUCAAGUUUACUGUGCGUGGCUAUCAACUCUCGUUAUCUGUUAUGUUGUUAUCAUUUAAACAUGUCGACAUAGUUCACUAUUUCUGCGUCACUGUUUCUGUGAGUCCGCUGAGAGAGAGAGAGAGAGAGAGAGAGAGAGAGAGAGAGAGAGAGAGAGAGAGAUAUGUCCACAAAUAGUUGAUCAUCAACUACCGAAAGUAGACCAUAUUUCUAGUUCACAGCAUAAGAUCACUAGAGGUGAAAUAGACUUUGCCCCAUCCAUAAGCCGAAAGAAAGAGUGACAAAGAAGGGUUUCACUUCUCCUAAGCAAGUUUCUAAUGUGGACAUGUAAACCCUUAUACGAAUUUCAUAUCACUUUGACUUAUUUAAGUAGAAAAACCGGGAUAGUUGAUAACUUAUAUAUUACAUUGUUGAGUGUGUCAUAUCUCUAUGGUCAUGACAUUUGAAUAUUUUUCCUUCACUGGACUUGCACUGAGUUUUUCAUUACAUUUACCAUAUACAUAAACUUGUUUUCAGUAGUAUUUGUGCACCAGACUCUACUGAUUGCUGAUGAUGUUUACAAAAGUUACAUUAUUGUUGUUACUAGUGACAUGGAUGAAGACUGAUGAUUUUGUGGUUCGAGAAAUUGGUAAGGUACCCCCUUACCUUACUGCCCAAAAUUAUGCUAGAAAUAUUGUACUUAUGAUAUAUAAAACUAAAACUAUGUCAAUACCAAUGCUUGUGAAGUAAGGUUGUAAAUGGGUGCCUGUUUGUUUUUUUCCCCUUUCCAGCUUUCUUGUAUUAUUAGGGAUUGACUAAGAGAAAAGAGAGUUAACAAAAUAAAGGUUAUUUUGUUGAGGAUUGACUUAAGAGAAAAGUGGAUCAGUCUGGUGGAUUUCAAUAAUUAUUCAAAGAAAAAGACACAGAGAGAGAGAGAGAGAGAGAGAGAGAGAGAGAGAGAGAGAGAGAGAGAUUGUGAAAGAGACAUCGAUUGUGAAAUGCUAGGUUGACCUUUAAUGACUUUAUAUAAUUUGGUGAAGACAAGAUAAGAAAACAAAAGAGAAUAGGUGAUAAAAAGAAGAAAACCUCUGUUUUGUAGGCCACUGAAAUUGUCCAAAUUAGGGGCCUGUGGAGCCAAAGAUCCAUUGAGUUGUAUGGUCCAAAGAAAAAGAAAAUUGGACCAACAUGAAUGGGGCCUCAGUGAGAAAAUGAGAUCAGAAAAAAGGAGAGAAUUCUUAGGGUGUUUAUUAGGGGCCUACGUUUAAACGACUUUUGACAUUCAUGAGUGCUUACUUUUGGUAUUUAGCAUAAAAGAAAUCAAGGAACGCGUUUUUCUUACGCUCAUGAACACAAGAAAGGAAAAAGAGAGAAAUAAAACAACAAAAGAAACUUGAAAAGAUUGGGUUGGAAAAGAUAUAGUGGCAAAGCAUCUGUAAAAGAUGGAAGCAAAAGGCUGGGUGAUGACUACCACCUUUUCUUUGGCACAAGCACACCAUACAAAAAUCUUUUUUCUUUCUUUCUCAUAAGAAGUGAAAACCCAAUCUUUUUUCUUUCUUUUUCACUUCGGCCAUUCACCUCAAAAAUCCAAGGGGUUGGCUUGGCCAUUAAUCUUAAGUUGAUUUUUAUUUAUAUCUAGUGUGCCAAUUCAACUUUCAUCUGUACUUUAUGAUUCUUAACAUGCGAAUUUGAAUGUUAUAUGCCUGCUUUCCCUUUGAAAUGACUUGGUACUCAACUCAUUAUUUUUUUUCAGAUUUAGCAUAUUAAUAUUCUCUAUUGGACUGAAAUAUUUCAGGUUUCUUUUUCAUAAAAAAGAGUUUAGGCUAGUUAUAUUAUCUCAUCACUCAAUCACUUGACAAAUUUUCUUAAACUUUAAAAGAAAUGUUGAUUUAUAUUGUUAUGUCAUUAACUACUUCAAAUUCAAGUGUCUGUAUCACGAUUAUGAAAUGGUUUUGGCAUUGAUAUCAUCCGCUUAAGUUUUCUAUGGUUAUGCAGGUCUCAUAGGUUCGCUCGUCUGGAUAAGCCAAAAAAGCACGCGCACACUUGCACAGCACACAAUCAAGUUGAGGCUGUUCUUGCACCAAUUCAGCCACGAUGACUCAUGACAGUAAUUUCACUUUUUAAUUCAAUAUAUAAUUGUGUUUUUUACAGGGAAAGUGUGCAUGAAAACAAGGUUGGUUUAUACUUAAUUAAAUACUAGUGUGAUAGAGAAAGUGAAAGCAUGUUUGAUUAAGGAAGGGAUGUGGAUGGCUUUGGCAGUGGGGAAAAUAAAAAUAAAAAUAAGAGAUGAUAGUUGGGCAAGUAGGGCUUGAUUGGUUUCCAGCAAGAAGAAGAAAAAGAAAGGUAGGGUUGAUUGGUGGUGGUCACCCACCCGCCUAUGUUUUAGCCCAUACAUGAUUGAAGGGAAGCUAAAAAUUUUGCCAAAAGCUGGUUCAUGUCUCACGAGAGCAUCUAUGUUGUCUAAGCCAAAAUCCCUCACUCCUAGGAGAGGCUUCUUCAUGACAAAAGCACUUUUCCCCACUUAUACUGAAAAGUAGUUUGAUCAUUAUACUUUCCAAUAUUGCUUCCAUGGGUUGUGUUGUUUUUAGGGCAUUAAAAUUGAAAGUCCCUAGGUUUUGUUUACGUGCUUUUUACAACUUUUUAUCCCCCUUUGUGGCAAUAGGUAGAAGAAUGAAAUCAAUAUUGUGUUUGACGAGUGCUUAGCACGUGCAUCAUGAAUUACAAUGAUGAGUUGAAGAUGAACAUGAUGAUGACUGUGUUUCGAAUGGGCAUGUGAUCAAACCUAGAUGUGCCAAUGUAUCUUUCAUCUGUCGUUUUAUUUUAUCAGUAAUAAUAGCUAGAAGAGAAUUUUAAGAUAUGUACAUGUAUUUUCGACAUGGGAAGGAAUGAAUCAAAAUAUUUCUAAUCGUUUUUGAACUGGUGUUGUCUAAUAAUACGAAGAACUGAAGCAAGACUAGAGCUAGAAAAUGUUUUAAGUUGGAGAUGACAUCUUCAAAGAAAGGUUGUGUUCUUUUGAUGAAGCCAAAUUUUAGAUCCCCCAAAUUCAUUCCUCGAAAUCGACUUUUGUUUGUUUUAUUUAGUGCAAGAGAGGAGAUUCGAGCUUAGGACACCUUCUAACAGUUGGAAGGAGAGAUGUACCGUUUAGAUACCUAUAAGAAAUUGAAAUCAAAAUAAUUGACACUCACUAAGAAUUUGGAAAUGCAUUCUUAAGAAUGCCAAACCCAUUCCCCUUGGAAAGCAACUUUGCUUUUCGUUCUUCAUUUCAACUAACUAAUCCCAUUAUUGGUAGGUUGAGAAAAUGCUUAUGUCAACCCUCAUCAUGAUGUUGGAAAUUCUUAAAAGUCAACCUAUAAUUUGUCCUAUAAUACGAAGACAUUAGUAGCCAAAGUCAGACCAAACCUUAAAAAAUUUAAAAUAAACCCACUUAUUUUUGCAGGAUUGGCUGCAAUGGUGCCCCAAAAGACCAUUAGGGUCAACCUGUAAUUAUAAUUUAUAUAUAAACAUGUUUAAAUUUUAGAAGCAUGACAGGUUAUGGUUGGGUUCUGGGGUCUCCUUAGCAUGCUCGAGUCAACUCAGCCAACCUGUGACCCAAUUACCCUAGCUGGCUACCUUUUGUUGUACAGUGUAGGAAGACUGGUGGUGCUUCAGAUCAGAGAUAGGAUGGUACAAAUUACUACGGCAGAAUCUUGAAGGGACUUGUUUAUAGGGCCAGCUAUUUGGUCCAGGUCCCAACUUUGCACCUAGUCAUUUUAUUUUUGUUGUUUCUACAUGUUUUUUUAUUCUUCAAAAUAACUACUAUUUAGAAUUCUAGAAUUCAUAUAAUAAACUUGUAGCUGAAACGAUUAAGAGCAAUUAUGCUCGAUGUCCUGUGUUCAAAUCUCCUUCUUUCGAUAUUGCUUAUAUCAACAACAACAAAAAUUCUGAAAUUUGGAGAUGUGAAUUGAUUUAUUUUGAUACAAUAAGAACUUUGAAAUAAAUUUGAAACACGAGAAGCAAAAACCAAAACUUUUGUUACAAGUGUGAGCUGUUGGAAUAUACCUUGCUUUCCCCGUUACCUCUCCUCUAUUGCCUUCAGAAAGUUGUUCGACGUCUAUCCAUAUUCCUCCAACUCUCUUUAACUUACCAAAAACAAAACAAAAAUUAAAAGCCUCUCUGUAUUUUUAGGAUAAAUAAAAGAUCUUUUACAUAUUAUGUCACGCCUAAUCGAAAGUAAUUACUCAAUCGCAACGGUUAAUAUUAAAACACGUCACAAAUUUACGCGAUCAAUCAAUAAAAUACAUCGUACAUAAUUUAUAUAUUUUCUCUUCUUUGUUUUUUUCUUUAGUGCAAUUAUUGAUGUUGAUUUUCUCUAAAAUCCAUUAUUUGCACUCUAAACAUUAUCUAUUUUUUAUAUUAAUUCCAUGCAUGGUAUGUAAAACCAAACCACUGAUUGUCGAUACAAAAUUGAUGGAUGGGAAAAUCCCCAAGUAGAUACUGACGUGUCAUUAUAUGAAGGAGAAGAAUCAAUCGUUCCCACCACUAAUCUUCCGUACACACGUGGCAGAUUAUGAGAGUGACAAGUCAGUUAAUGCAGGGGUCCCACAAAGAGGGGCCAUUUGAGUUCUGUAGUCAUUUUCAUUCUCAGUUCCAGUUUUGCACGAAACGCAGCAGCAACUUUAUACGAUGCUUGCUUGGCAGGGGAAUUAAUUAAUGACACAUAAUUAAGUUUUAAAAAACAACCAAUUAAAAAUAAAUUGAUGAUCAGAUCAGGAGAGGCUGCUUAGAUCAUGGGGCCCACUUAACCUAAUAACCUAAAGUUUUUGCUAAAUUUGCCUCCAAACUAUAAUAAAUUGAACACAUGAAGAUCUGCUACAAUUUGACUUGAGCACAGUUUUGCCCGGCCUGAUUUCUGUGAGCCGUUGAUUUCCUUGACAUUCAAAGGCUGUGAUCUAUCAUUUUUAGACUCUUUUUUUACAUCACAAAUUACCAUGUUUCAUAAAUUAGUAUUAUAAUAAUCAUCACAAUGGCUGAGUUGUUGAUUGAAAAACACAAAAGGUUGAAUUGUAACAUGUCACGCAUUACGUCAUAACGAUCAUUAUAAAGAUUGUUUUCUUGUCGCCCCUUCUCCCAAAUCUAAUUAUAUUUUUUUCAAUGCUUUUUGUUUUUUUUUUUUAAAUCGAACAAUAUAGUGUACAAGAUAAAACUAAUCAAAUAAAGUUUUAAAGUAAAUUCUAAAUACGUGUAAUCACUCGCAAAUCACACAUUAUAAACUUGUGAUUUUACAUACACAAUUAGCAUUUAAACUUGAAUGUUUGACUUCACAACUCAUUUUUUAUGCACUCUUUUACCGUUUAGGCCACGACUACAUGUUUUUAUCUUACUAAACUUUUAAUAAAUUAGCUUAGUUUCUUUGCAAAUGUCAAGGUAGCUACAAGUUUAGCAUGCUUAAAAUAAAUUAAUGGUGCAUUGCCAUAAGGGGUCCUUAUCAUUCAACCAACCCUCUCUCCAUCUCAUCCACCCCGAGAGAAAAGUCCAAACCUCACCCUCCAACUCCAAUCUCCAUCCCUAGUUUUUUUUGCUCUUUUGUUCUUAGAGAGCUAGAGAGAGAGAGAGAGAGAGGAGGCGACUAGGCUUAAAGGUCAAUUGCUAUUUGCUAUAAAUAUUAAUUUAAGAAAAACAUAAUCACAAGCACCAAUCAUCUUUCCACACAUGCCCAUGAUUUUUUUUUCUUCCCAACAAAUUUUUCUUUUUCUUUUGGCAGAAGAAGAUAUAAAUAUAAAAUAUAUUUGUGUGUCAAGAUCAAAGAUCAAAGAUCAAAGAUGAAAGAGCCAACAUCCCAAUGGCUUGGCUGGGAUGGACCACCUGCGCACCCAAACCAUAAAUAAAUGGCUCACAGCUCUACUGUGCACUACUAGCCGCACAGUGUACGCAGUGCAGGGUCUUUGUUGAAAAAAAUCCCUCCCCCUUUGGGCUUGGAGCCAUGGGCCUCACAAAUUUUGUGAAAUAAAUUGGGAAAAAUAUUAUUUAGUUUUCUUCCAACUUAUGGUCUACAACAAAAGUUAUAACCUAGCACACAAAAUUCAACCACCAACACCCCCUAUCCCUCUCUUUCUUAUGUCACAUUGACAUGCCUCACCCAUGUCAAAACCAACGCGCACUAGGUCCUUUAGGACCCCAAAGUUUAGGCCAGGUAAUUAAACAAAGAUAUCGAGUACCACAAUAACUGUUCUUAACCGUUUUACUUACAAGCUCUUUAUUUUAUCGUUUUUAUUUCUUCAUUAACUAAUCUAAUAUCUUAUAUUAUGGUACUAAAUUGUCAAUUGCAAUUUGCUAAAAUGAUAGCAGAUGAACUGCUAAUAUCAAUCAUCUUCUUGAAAAUCUUUGUAUUUAGGUUUGGAACUUUUCAAAUAUUGUGACACUUUAUGAUCUUAGGAGGCAAUUAUGGAUUCUGAAGGAAAGCUCGUAAUUUUAUUUGUUGAGUUUUAAAAAAAGGGAAAAUAAUACAUAAAUGUUUGAUGAUGCUCGUUUGGUGCCUCGUAUUGGAUUGAAUUGGAUAACUCUCUAUGUUUGAAGUACGUUAAAGGAAGAAAUGAAAAAAUGUAGACCAAGUUGAAGGUAGAAGAUGGAUUACUUAAGAAUCAUUCACUUCUACCUUCAUUUUCUCCUUCAACAUACUUUAGAUUUAGUAACUUAUCCAAUACAAUAUAAUCCUAAACACCAAACGAAGUGUGGUAACAUAAUUAGAAAGUGAUUACACUACAAGAAAACGCGUUAACCCUAAAACCCACCCUGUAUAAAAAUCAAAAUGAACCAUCUUUAUUGUGUCUGACUAAAGUUUAUAAGCUCACCUUAUUAAAGUCUUAAUCACCCCAUGUGGGCCCACGAAAUUAAAAUAAUACGAAGCAAUAUAAAAUAAUAAUAAUAAACUUUGUACUAAUAAAUAGGAAAAACUUAGGGGAAUGACAAAAUCCUCAGACACAGACACCUCAUUCUUUAACCCAAAUGGAGAUAAAUUAAUGCACUUAAAUGAGUUAAUUAAUCUCAAUCUACAGGGUAUUAUCGAGGUUGUUCGCAGGUAUUUUUAUAGGAGUUCGUUUUCAAAGAAACCGACGUUUUCUCAGUUUUUAAUUUGUCUUAAUUAUUGAAGGCAAGAAAAUGUGAUUAAUCUUUGUCGCUGUCGAUACUAGGCAUGUUCUUGAAUUCAUUUUUUGUUAUUUGUUAUUUUAUUUUUAACUUUUGUCCGAGUUAUUUACAUUAACACUCCCUGAAGUUUUCGGUGUUUUCACAAAGCCCCUUGAAGUUUCAAAAAUUAUACGAACACCUUCUGAGGUUACAGAUUGUUUUCACAGAAUCCUUUUUCGUUGAUUGUUCGUCCGAAAGUUUAUGAUUUCAUUUGAAGGAAAAAAAAAAAAAAACUUACGCAAAUGAAAAAAUUAACCUUAAUGAAUGCAUGUGCAAUUUAAUCUCAAAGGCUAACUUCGACGUUUGGAGAAAUGUUUUAUAUAAAAUCAUCAAUAUUUGGAUGAAAAAUCAAUAGAAAAAGUGUUUUGUGAAAAUAAUUUAAAACCUUAAGGAGUGUUCACAUAAUUUUUAAAACCUCAAGAGGUUUUGUGAAAACAUCGAAAAUCUCAAAGCGUGUUAGUGUAAAUAACUAUGUUUAUUAUGCAUGUAUUUGAUUAAACAAAACAAAAGCCUCCAAAACCAGAACUGUUAAGAGGUGAAUAAAGUAAUCAAGUGGGUGUUGCAAUCAAACAUGGCCCAUGUGGCUUGAUUAGUAGGUGUCCAUAAAACUAAUCAAAAAAAUUUGGGAAAAUUUCAAUAGGCUCCAAGACAGGGCACUGUGUAUAAUAAUAGCAUAAAUAAUUAUAACUUUAAAAAAAUGUCUUAACAAAGAAGAAAAUAUUAUUAAAAAAAAUUUUAAAAAAAAUUAUGUUGCUUUUGAAGGAGGAUGGAGGAGAAUGACGCGUUACGUGUUUGGUGUAGUACAUGCAGGAAAAAGAGCAUUAUCUUCAGACAUGGCAUGACAAAAUUCAACCCAACCAUGUUAUUAGCCUUUAUCAUUGUUAAAGACACUAUUAUUAUAAAAACAAAUGUUUGUUUAAGCUACAAAAAAAUGAUUUUAAAAUGUCAAUAAAUUAUGUGUUUUUGUUUCACUGUUUUCUGUGCUACUUUUUUGUAUUUAAUUAGCCUCGCUACGGGAGAAGUUGUAUUCAUAUUUGGUACUUUAGUUGUUAUGUACUUGUUUGUUUAUCAUAUCAAAAAAAUACUGUCGCUAUUUUAUCAACAAAAAAUAAAAAAAAUUAGCCUAGCCAAUAAAACUUCUCAAUCAAAAUUAUGACAAAAUUAGCAACACAUCUAAGUUUUCUGAAAUUAGCAUAUCUACCAUAUUCCUGCCAAGAACAGCAAGCAUUUUAAGUCUUCUGAUUAACAUCUCUACCAUAUUCCUCCCAGAAUCUGAUAAGCUCAGAAUAAGCUCCUCUUGAAUCAAACAAGGAAUAUAACAUAUGGUAAGAGGAUCCAUUAAUUUCCCAAGUAGCAUGUUGAAGGAGUUCACAACAACCCAUCUAUAGAAAUUCCAUUUUAUCCAUAAGAGACUAGAAAAGGGCCAAAAAGAGAUCAUAUCAUCCUAGUCCUAGCACUCAAAGCUAACUAAGUGCCCGUUUGGUAUGCCUAUUUGGAGUCAAAAACACUUUCUUCAAAAUCUUUGGCUACACAACCCGUUCCUAAGACCAUGAAACACCCAAGACCAAGCUUUCUUCCUCUUUUUCUUCUUUUUUGUUUUUAAAUCUCAAGUAACUAGGUUAGUUGUUCCAAAAUCGUGUGCAGCAGUAUCACUAUAAGUUGUUCGGUUCCUAGUGACAGGAGUUUGAUGAAUCACUUUAAUCCUAGUUACCAUGAGAACUGCUAGAAAUACUUCAUUUGGGUGGUACUAAAUGCUAAGUCGAAUCACCGAGAACUAGUUUCAAUUCAACAUACCAAGGAGCAAAAGAGUGCAAGAAACCCUAUGUUAAAAGAAACAUAACAAGGUGUCAAAUGAGAGGUGCAUUCUCAACAUGAUGUGCAAGUUCAGAAUUCAUACAUCAAGUUAGCAACAAUGAACUUCUAUCUAUGAAACCCAGCAGAAAAUCUGGCAGUCAAUUUAUAUAUAAGUGAACUUCUAUCCAUAAAACCAUUAAAUUAGCAAGCAAAUGAACUACUGUCUCUAAAACCAACAGAAUGAACGUCAAUCUAGAAAACUCGCAAAAUGAAUUAAAAUCCGGUAAGUUGUUUUUCCAUUUAUAGUUCAUUUGUUGCCAAGUAUACAACAUAUUAUAACCACCUUAACCAGAAGAAAAUGCAGCUUUCCUAUUUAAACAUUGAAGUACCAUAGCACCAAUAUCCAUGUUCAAAAGAAAUACGACUCUACUAGGCUUCCCUGUUAGACGAUUUGUUGAAAUACUAGUCUGUCUAGACUAGAUACACAAUAAGCAAAGGAGACUCACAAACGUGACAAUUCACAAGGAUUAAGUCAUAACAGAGGCGCCAAGAACAUAGUUCAAUAUUUAUUGACAUAUUAUCAGAGUAGACUAAGCUGGACCUCUGCGAUAAAUUGUGAGUUGCAAAAAACCAACCUCCCCUGCUUGUCAAAAUGCUGCUCCUCAGCACCUCCAGGCUGAAGCGGAGAUGAGCUCUCGACGCUGCCAGCAUAGAACAAGUGACUCUUGACGCUUCUCCACAUGAAAUCCCCUUGCUGGAGUCCUCUUCACCACACAUUCUGCCUGCGUUUCAGUAAAGUUACUGAAGGGUACAGGGGUGAAACCGGCAGAGGCAAAAAGCGUUUUCCAAAGGGGCAUUUUGUCCGGGGUUCGAAGACGCCCUAGAACAGUGCUCUCAAUCUUCGGCUGAAGGAGGAACCUCUCAAUCUUGUUCACAGCAUCUGAGGUCACAUUAACCGCAUCAAGAGAUUCCAAAAGGUUUAUGUAGGACUGGAGGGCCUGCAGAAUGUGCUGCGGGAAUGGAAGGUCACUUCUAUCACACCCUCUAUCCAAGGACACCAUAAUUUUGGGAGACAGUUGCUUCACAAAGCGAAGGAGAUUGGGCAACGCAGCCGGUUGAUUUGAAGUAGACCAAAUGGGGAAAUUCACAGCAACUGUCUCAUUAUCGUUGGCUCGAAAAAUGGGCAGGGAGUAAGAGCUCUGGUCCAGAGAAUCAAAGUUAACCACUUCAAGCUCAAAACUUAUCCCAAUCUCAUUGGCAAAUUGGGUUAGAUUAUCACGCAUAAGCCCGAGCUCAACCGGGUGGUGAGUCGAAGGAGAGGCAAAUGCAGUGAUUCUGAGUGAAGGGGCAGUAGCUCCCCUAUUCCUGACAGGAAGCUCCUGCAUAAAGGAAGCCCAAUGAGCACCAAACCCAAUAUCAAAAUCGACAAUGUGAAUCUGAUCUGUGUCUGAGACGGCCUCAAGAAGAGCCUGGUUGCAGGUGAAAUUGACAAACUGAAUGAGUGGAGAAACUUCAGAGAACACUUUGUAAGCACCCAUUUUGAAGAUGACAUCAAAUGGGGUUGGGGUUCUUGGUGGAGGAGAGGUAGCUGGAUUGUUCAUGAGGAGGAGGAGUUGCAAAGCCUCCUUGAAAUAGAAAGCAGCCCUCUGAAGGGGCUUUCCAACAGGGGAAAGCUGGUGAUUGAGCCGCGCCAAUAUCCCUUGCGCGUGUGAAAAGUUCCCAGUCCCUACCAGCUCUGCGGCCUUAUAGAGCUGGUCGAGCAAAGUAUGCUGGAGCUGUUGCUGGUGAGCCAUUUCUUCACCAUGGCCCACCGCAACCUUCGGCUUCGGCACCAUCAAUGGCUUCUGCGGAACAUGAUGCUGCUGAGGCAGAAAUUGCAUGCCUUGAGGAUACCCAAAUUGCUGCUGCUGCUGCUGCUGAUGUUUUCUCAGCAAAAACUCAUGACCUGGAUCAGAAAACUGAACUUUUUGGAUCUGAUGCGAGCCAGGGUCUACAAUUCCACCCGAGUUGUGGCGCUUGGCCUGGGACUGAAGCAGGUGGUGUUGUUCUUGCUGGGCAUAAGCCAGUGGCAUAAAAAAGUUUGGAUUUUGAGAAAGCUGAGACUGCUGAUUCUGGUUGUUCAUGAACAGCUGUGGGUUCAGAAUCUGAGGCUUCUCAUCUGGGCUGCUCUCAAACUGUUGCUGCUGGUAAACCACAUGACCAAGAGGCAAAGAAACAGGAAGAGCCAUAGUGUUUGAUGAAUUAAAGAAAAUGGGGUUUUGAAUGUUGCAAUUGACACUGUUGCCCCCACCACUGUUGUUGUUGUGCAUGAACCCAACAUUUGAAACCUUGUAAUUUAGCAACCCCGAAGAGCCAGGCACAAAACCCACCUUCCCAUUACUGCUAUUAUUGCCGUUGCUCACAAACCCAGAACUGGAAAACCCGAAAUUCGGCCCCGAAACGCUCGUGCCCGAAACGCUGCUUCCGAUUAGGUCGAAACCCGGGCCCUGAUCGACGAUUCCCAAACCGGCAUUGCCGUCAAAAUCAAGAGGGUUGCUGUUGUUGUUGUUGCUGCCGUUCUGGUUCCCGCUCUGCAGGAGCUGCUUGAGCCCAAACGACGUGUCGUCCACAUCCCCAGCGAUCCACCGGAGAAGUGACUGGUCUUGACCCGGAGACGCCGCCGUUCCGGAGAGCAUGGUCUCCCAGUCCUCCAACCCACCAAGCCCAAGCCCGCAUCUCUCGACGCCUCCUGAUCCAGUCACGGCCUCCAACCCGCCGCUCGGAAUCGAUUGAAGCUCGCAGGCCCACUCGUCUUUGGUCGACGCGGGUCCCACCGGAGGCGAUGUCUCCGCCGCCAGCGGCGUCGUUUUGUCACCCCCACCACCACCGCCGCCGUUGAAAGACGAAGAGAGAGUCGAUGCAGAAGUGGGUGGGCUCGGGCUUCUUCUCAUAUGAAGAACAGAGUUGGGUUCGCUGCUCACAAAGCUGUUGUUGUAGAAAAAGCAGUCGUCUUUCUGGCUCAAGUACUUGUUGCUGUUGCUGUUGAUGUUGUCUGUGAAAAUUGAAGCUAAGCUUGUAUUUGCGAUUUCUAAGACCCCCUUCCCUUGCUGAAAAUGAAAGGGCAUCCCUCUUGCAUAAAUAUCACAAACCCAAAAAUUAAAAUUAAAAAAAGCUCAAACCUUUGGAAAGAUCAAACCAAGUUGCAGAAGAUUUGCUCAGGGAAACAAGAACAAGAGGCAGAGCAAUGGGUUAAGCUCAGAAAAUGGGUUCUUUUUAGAUUUGUGCAGAAAAAGCUCUUCGUUUUUCUUCUGAGUCUUCCUCAAAUUCACACCCACCAUCCACUCUUUGCAUGCCAUGAAAUCUUUUCAGCUCAAACUAAACAAACCCAUUUCAAAAAAUUGAUUCUUUCUUUUCUGUAGCUCACCAUUACUGAACAAGUUCUCUGUCUUCCUUCUCAGUUCCAUCAUAUCUUACUUUACUAUUUGCCAGAGUUCCAUUUCAACUCUCUCUCUCUCUCUUCUCUUUCUCUCUCUCUUUCUCUCUCUCUAGACUUGGCAGCAGCUGUUGUUGUUGUUGUGGGUAGAGGUGGUGGUGUUGUUGUUUCUUCUAAUCUCUUCUUCUACCCUUGUGUCGCAGCAGAGAGUACUCUGUACCCUUCCCUGUUCUGCCAUGGAUGCGUGCAUCAUAAAAAAGGUAAUAAAGUGUGCUCUCCCUCCUCACCAUCUCUCUCUAGUCCCUAUCUCUUUCUCUCUCUACAAUUUUUAUUUUUAUUUUUCCAUUCUCUUUUUUUAUUUUUGCUUUUCUUUCUUUCUUCUGAACCAAUUUAUCUCUCCCUCUCUCUUUCUCUGUUAUAUUGCUGGGUUUCUGUCACCUCCGCAUAGUGGUCACGGCAUUGUCUUUACCUUAUUUUACGAAGGGUAAAUGGGCGCUCUGCUUUUUGAUAAAAGGGCACUCCGGAUAUUAAAUUACAUUAUAGGCCAUGUCAGAUCCUGUCUUUCCUUGCAUAGAUAGAUACAGUACAACUAUUCAUGUUUCCUUUUUGCCACAGGCACAACUAUUCAUGUUCAAAGUUCAAUCCAACUAUCCAUUCCUGUUUCCUUUUUGACAGAUUCAAUUAGAUCUUCAAAUCUUAAAAAACCAUGUUUAAAUCGGGUAAUGAAUUAACACAAACCAGUUCUUUGGUUCGUUGGUGAAAGUGGUCACAUCUUCAUCCCGAAUUCACAUUUGUUAAAAAGGGUAAAAUUGUCAAUUUAACAGCUACAAUUAUGCUUGCUCUUGGUAAAACUAUUGAGAGCAUAAAUAAGAUAGUUUUUUUUUUUAAAUAUAAAUUCAAAAACAGAACCUCAAGUGCAAAGAUAACUGCUCUUAACCAAUUGAGUUACAAACUCCUUAUAAUAAUAUGUUUUCUUUUAUUAUUAUUAAUAAAUCUACUUUUGGUGCAUUCAUCUUUAUAUGAAGGAAGCACCAACUUCAUUCAAUUACAAGAGACAUUGUGGAAAAAAAAAAGUCAAGGAAGAUAACCUAUGAGGCUCUUCCUCAAUUUAUAGAAAUAUAGAGCAAUUAAAAGCAAAUUCAUCUAACAAUUGAGUCAUUGUGUUUACAUUUACGAUACCUUUACUGACAAGAAUAGUCUCAAAGUUGUUGAGCAAUUAAGAGCAAAUCCAACUAACAAAUGAGCCACUAUGCUUACAUGCACAAUACCUUUAUUGACAAGCAUAGACUCAGAAUCGUCUAGCAAUUAAGAGCAAAUCCAACUAACAAAUGAGUCACUGUUUUUACAUGCACAAUACCUUUAAUGACAAGAGUAGACUCAAAAUCGCCUAGUAAUUAAGAGCAAAUCUAGCUAACAAAUGAGCCACUGUGCUUACAUGCACGAUACCUUUACUAACAAGAGUAGACUCAAAAUUGCCAAGCAAUUAAGAGCAAAUUCGACUAACAAAUGAGCCACUGUGCUUACAUUCACAAUACCUUUACUAACAAGAGUAGGCUCAAAAUGGCUUAGUAAUUAAAAGCCAAUCUAGCUAACAAAUGAGCCACUGUGCUUACAUGCACGAUACCUUUACUGACAAGAGUAGACUCAAAAUUGCCAAGCAAUUAAGAGCAAAUUCGACUAGCAAAUGAGCCACUGUGCUUACAUUCACAAUACCUUUACUAACAAGAGUAUGCUAAAAAAUGUAGAGUAAUUAAGAGCAAAUCUAGCUAAAAAAUGAGCCAAUAUGUUUACAUGCACGAUACCUUUACUGACAAGCAUAGACUUAAAAUUGUUGAGCAACUAAGAGCAAAUCCAGCAAAAAAAUGAGCCAUUGUGCUUACAUGCACGAUACUUUUACUAAUAAUAGUGUACUCAAAAUCGUCGAGCAAUUAAGAGCAAAUCCGGCUAAAAAAGGAGCCAAUAUGUUUACAAGCACAAUACCUUUAUUGACAAGCUUAGACUCAAAAUUGUCGAGCAAUUAAGAGCAAAUCUAGCUAACAAAUGAGCCAUUGUGCUUACAUGCAUGAUAUUUUAACCGAUAAAAGUAGACUCAAAAUCGCCAAGCAAUUAAGAGCAGAUUCGACUAACAAAUGAGCCACUGUGCUUACAUGCACAAUACCUUGCUGACAAGAAUAGACUUAAAUCAUCAAGCAAUUAAGAGCAAAUCUAGAUAACAAAUGAGCCACCUUACACGCACGACGCCUUAGUAACAAGAGUAGACUCAAAUCGUUAAGCAAUUAAGAGCAAAUCCAACUAACAAAUGAACUACUGUGAUUUCAUGCAUGAUACCUUUACGACAAAAGUAAACUCAAAAUUGUUGAGUAUUAAAAGAAAAUCUAGCUAACAAAUGAGCCAUUGUGUUUACAUGCACGAUACAUUUUCUGACAAGAAUUGACUCAAAAUCGUCGAGCAAUUAAGAGUGAAUCCAGCUAAUAAAUGAGCCACCAAAUUUACAUGCACGAUACCUCUAUUGAAAAUAGUAAACUCAAAAUCGUGGUUUUGCAAUGACGUCACAUGCACUCAUCUUAUGCUUGGUAUAUUUUUUAAAUGAGCAGAACACUUUUCUUUAAUAUCUCUUAUUCAAAUUUGUGAUUGAAUUUUAUGAAUGAAAUUACAAUUAUAGUCCAUGUAGUUUUGCGAAUCGUUCACUUGAAGACUUAUAGUUUCAAAUUAGAUAAUUGUAGUCCUAUAAAUUUCUUAAUAUUACAAUUAAGGACAUUCAUCAAAUAAAAACAUAGAAGUUUAAGUUUUUAUCAUGUGAUAAACAUAUGGAGGGGUAGAGUCAACUUUUUUUGGAGGUAUAAUCCUUCGAUUCGCACCUCAAAGUCACGUGAUAAAACACAUAGAGGGGAAAACUCAACUUUUUCGAUUUGCUCCUUAGAAUCCCUAACUUUACUAUGAAAAUUCUUAAAACCCUAACAAAUUGUUGUUAAUGGCAGCAACCUAGCAUUUUGGUUUAAACCACACUCUAAAAGGUAAAUUUCCCCCCUCUUUUUUUUUUUUUUUUUUGGUUACAUUGGAGUUCAACCCUGAGGUUCGAACUGAUGUGCCAUGGCGGAAGGGGUAAAGUUUUCCCUUUCAGUGUUUAUUAAAGUUAAAAAAAAGAUCACGUUUCAUUUAUUGAUUUAACAUAUUGUACUCAAUGGGAAUCUUAAACAAACUAAAGCAUUUAUAUUGCUAAAAUUGAAAUCGCAUGUCCCUCAAGUGAGAAAUCGGCAAAACUACUUAUAAUAUAAAAAUAAUUUGGCGAGUAUGUGGUGGUUUAGUAGAAAAUCACUAGCUAAAAUAUACUUUUAAUUUGGGCAACCAUUACACAAAACUACACACUAGCUAAGGAAAAUUCUAAUUUGUAAGGUCGAAACUAUAGCUUGAAGAGGUGGUGGUGGGAGGGGUUGGCGGUGGCCAUGGGUGGGGGGAAGCCACCAUCCCUUAUUUUUUUCAAAAUUUUGUAUCUUGUGAUUGUGAACUUGACCCUUUGUAGAGUUGUUGAAGCCACUCUCUCAUUUCAAGCAGAUACGCAUGGCUCAUGACUCACCAAGUUUUCCUCCUCAAGUACUAUAUUUUAAAAUUAAAAGCUCGUUAACACAAAUAUAUAUAUAUACACUAACAAACACACAAAAACGAAAAACCCCUCAUCAAAAUGAUAGUUAAAUAAAAAUAAAGAUAUUAUGAACUUUUGAUUUUAUUGUGGGCUAUAAAAUAUGAAUUUCAAGCACCACCCUCAAAGAUAAAGUUAGAAGAAGUGUACUAUAUUUAUUUAUGAUAUCAAUCACCUAUGAAUCUGACAUAUACGGGGUAACUACAAACAUGUUCAAAAUUUAUGUUAAAACCUAAUCUUCGAAGAGGUUUAGGCCUUAUUUGGGAUUUUUUUUUUCAAUAAAAAUAUGCUUUAAGGUGUUUGGUAAAAAUAAAAUAUUAUGAUUAUUGUAAAAGUAAUGGUCUUUUGACAGCAGUUUUUAAAAGCAAGCUCUGAGUUUCUUUUCAAAGUUGGUUUCAAAAUAAGCAGAGAUGAACAUUUAAUAAUUCUUUUUAAUCUCAAAAUACCAUGACAUCACCCCCACCUCCACAUCCAACUAUACCAUCACCUCCUCCACCACCACCUCCACCUAUACCACCACCACGUCGCCACAACCAUUACCACCUCCUCCUCAUUAACCUCCAGUAUCCACCAUCACCACUACCACAACCACAACUACCACCUUCACCUUCAUCACCACCACCACCACAUCCACCCCUACCACCACAUGAUUAGCACAUAACACUUUCAACAUCAUGUCUAUUUUAGUCAUUAUUCACAGUUACAACUGUUUUAUAUUAAAAUUUACCAAACAGUUUUGACAAGAUUUUUUGUACUAACAGCACUUCAAAAAUAUUGUUUAGCUACUUUACUUUACAGCUAAUUAUUUUCAAAGCACAGCUGAAGCAAUUUUUUUUUUUUAAGUAACAGCAAUCCCAAACUGACCCUUAAAGGGUUAAUUGAGCCAAAAUGACUUUUAUCAUGCAUUAAAUUAUUGAAAAAUAAUCGCACAGACCAGUGAUUUUAGGUUUGAGUCCUUAUGGCAUCUUGGUAACCUUUUUUUUUCCCCAUAAUUUUCAUGUGUGUGGAAAACCAAUUCUCUUGUAGUUUAGAUUACUGUUGGUAUUCAAAAUAAAUAAUAAAUAAAAAGCAAGAAAAUGAAGUGAAACGACAGCGUAUGAAGUUGCAAGAGAAGGUCAAUAACGUUAAAGCCCAUAUCACUUUUGCUUGUUUGGUAUUGGGAACUGCGUGCGCAGUCCGCUGUCCGCUGUCCGCUACAAAAAUCAGACAACGACCUCAUGAAGACCAAAGAAAAGCCCAAGAAGAUUAUUUUCAACAUCUUCCCCACUCGAAAACGACGACGUCACAAUGAGUGGUUCAGAUUAAAAACACCAAAGACUCACGCGUUGCAUAACACGCUUUAAUCGCAGCGAGUUGAAUUCCGCAUCGUAGCUCCGGGUGUGUUACGUGUAGAUCAAUCCGCGCGUGGGUCUAUGCAGGCAGUCGUUGUUGGUCUUUGCUAAAAAUGGCGGCGAGGUGAUAAAUCGAUUUUCCGUUGUUUCACCUUUUUACCAUACACAGUAACUCUGGCGGGAAGGGAAAGGUUGGUAAAGUUGUGGGACUCGUCUGUCAUUUUGGAAAAAAGCUGUUUUGCUCUUUUUAUUUUUAUAUUUGUUUUCUUCUUGUGGUCUGGUCCAGGUGAAAAUAGUACUCCAGGUACAGCUUGGAUCUGCUGCUCCGCACAUAUACAAGAAACUUUGAGCCUAACCAUUGAAUUGAAUGGAUCAUGUAUUACUUUCAUCUGCUUCUUUAUUUUUGACUACUUUGACUUAGCAUGAUUAGAAAAUACAAACUAAUUAUAACAGAGAGAAUAAAUAAAGCUAACUUGUCUCCACAAUUAUUGGAUAAAAGAAGAACAAAAAAUCAUGCAUGUAAUAUGUCUCUAAUGCGAGGCGAGAAUGUCGAUCCAUAGCGAUAAAAAAAAUCGAUCGAUUGCCACUCAAUACAUCCGCAACUAUUUCACAAAACUAAUUCAAUUAAAAUAAAUUCCUUCCAUGGUUACAAUUUAAGCUAGCUGCUAACGGUCCACAAUCAUAGCAGGUAAACAAUUUUUUCAAAAAAGAGAAAGAAAGUUAUGCAUGAUCUUUUUGACAGCUUUUUUUUUUUUUUGGGUGGUCCGAUUCUUUUACAACUUUAUACAUAAAAAUAAUAAUACAUAGAAUUGUAUCUAUAUCGGUAGUCACAACCUGCUGCCAUAUUUAUAAUUUAUUAUUCAAAAUAAAUGGUCUUUAUGUUAUUUUAUUUGUGCAUGAGAAAUUAAUUUCUAUCAAUUGACAAGUGUCCACUCUAUUAUUUACACCUUUCGAGACAGCUUCAGACUAAAAGUAAAUAGAUCUUAGAACCAGAGCAGUCCAGGCUUAAUUUGAUUGUGUCAUUUCAUAAAAUGACAAAAUGCUUCUUUCAAAAUUGAUUCUUAGUGGAUGAUUCCAUAGUUUUUGUAUAGAAUCGGCUACACCCGAUCCCAUUAACCUCACCUCAUUCGACUUGGUAGCCCUAAAAAUCCCUAAUUUCUCAGCCAUUGCUUUAAAGUGAUCAAUGUAGAUCGGUGCAACGUGAUUACGUCCACAAAGUUAUCGUGACUGUAUUUCUUGAAAGUGACCAAUGUACAAUGUACGUACGCACGGGGAGGCUUAUACUGAUUGUACUGAUGAUUGUACUGGUCAAAAACCAAAGUCACAAGUUGUCAUAUUUAGAAGGAGAAGACUAAUUUAUAGGUCCUGGUCGGGCAUGCAUUAUUGGAUUCACACGGACACGGCUCUGUCAAUGCAAAAUUGAAAUGCAACCCCAUCAAACUAUAAGCUCUGUCCGACACAUGUACUGUGUACACCAAACGGCUUUGUUUAAUUAACGUGGUUUAGAGCAUUUACCUUUGUAUGCGUAUGAGGUCGUAGAUUCGAUUCCCACUUUUAAUUAUCGUAUCAAACUGUUAACUGUUUUCCAAUUGAACUUCUGAAAAUGAACUUUCAAACACAAACCUUAGUUUGACUGUACUUUGUCUUUGAUACAAUACAGGCAAGUCUCUGUCCUUCGAAUGCUUUCAUUCUCUCAAAACAAUAAUAGAAUCCAUGAGACGAGAGGGGUUCAUGGGGAUUGCAAGGCUCCAAGACAUGAACAGCCUUGUCUAUGUGCAUUUGAGAAAUAAAAUCAAUUUUUUGGGUAUUUGUGUGGAAGGGAUGAGAGGGGACAUGCUUUGGUCUAGCAUGAAAACCAUGAUUUGGACAUGUCAGGAUAUGGGGGCUUAGUUUAUAUACAGCCCCAUGUGACCCCUUAGCCAAAAACCUUCCAUUUUAUCAAGUGGAAAGUGACACAACUAAAUCCCAUCUUUGCCCCACCAAUGUUUUCUUUUCUUUCUUUUUCUGUAUAUUUUUAAAUAUAUUUUUUUUUCCUUAACUGUAUAUACAAUUUGUUUGUUUUGUUUACCAGGAGCAGCAACUCAUCAGGUCCCUCGCUGAGUCACUAUGCCCCAUCCAUCUGAGUUUAGGGUACGUGCGAUUUGAAUUUGCUAGAAGGACAUGUGAUCUUUUCUUGGCACGCCUCAAUGUGUGUUUGUGAAAGAAAAUGAAAGAAACAUGGUGAAUUAAAAUAGGAGUUGUAGUUUGACUAGCUAAUCCUCAUGACCCGAAGUCUUGGAGAGAAUUCAAUCGAACCAUCUAAAUUGAUAGAUGUAUUACCCAAAGAAAAUUAUAAAAAUUGUUGUGUAUAUAGUCUUUAUUACGUGUUACUCAUGUGACGAGCCAACGAUAAAAUAAUAUAUCAUUUUAUUUGACGGCCAUAAUUAUGAAGAGCUUCUCUCUUUAUUCAAGUACAAUUGAGAAUGGUGGUGGGUGCCAUCAGCCAUGUUCUUUCCUCUACCCUCAAGGCAAGUUCAUGAGGAAAUUAAUAUUAUCACGAUUCUCCUACUUACCAAACAGAAGCAUUUGAAGGAUUAAGAAAUUAAAAAGCAAUGAAAUUACACAAAGAGUACGAAAUAAACAUGUUGUUGUGAACGUGGGCUGCUCAAGCAAUGACAGCUCCUAGCUAUGAUUUGAGGACUUGAAAGUAAAGUAUUGAUAACAAGUCUAUAAACGGGGUUUGGAGGCCAUUACUCCUCUUGUACUUUUCCUAUUCAUUUGACUCUUAAGAAUUAUUGUCCGUACUUAAAAGUCCAACCCCAUGAAAAAAAAAAUUACGUAACUUUAAUGUGGACCAAGCCAUAUAUAAUCAUUAUAAUUCAAUACACUAUAGUGUGAUACAAGAGUAUGAUGACGCGGUUUAAUUUAUUUACGUGCUAUAUAGUGAAUUUAUUAAUAUUAUACUUUAAAAGUGAGAAAUAAUAAUUAUAUUAUCCACUCAUAUUAUAACAUGUAGAUAAAUUAAAAAAGAAGAGAAAACUUCAAACGUUACAGAAGCCCAAAGUUCCAAGGCUUCCUUGGGUUUGGUUUUAAGAGCCCAUAUAUUUUCUUGGAGAACAUGUUCUGGUAAGGAGCUAGCUCAAAGAGCAAUUUACAUGAAUGUUUAAUUAAACCAUCCAAAUUAACCUCCAUGAAUGAUGAUGUAUAACCACAUAAGUAAUUCAUAUCUUUUGUUCAAUCCUAUAUACCCUCUUUACUUUAUAAGCACCCUUACGUGUUACUCAGUAAUUAGAGAAUCUCUAACUGAUUCGACAACCUUUAUUAAGCUACUUCUGUUAGAGAUGCUCUAAUUUUUUAAACUAAAAAGUAAAGAGCUUUUGUUUGCAAUACAGAUAACUUUAUUUAGCUUUUUGAAGAUGUAAAACUUUAUGACUUUAAUUGCAAGUUAUAAAAACUUCUUCCAUGCAACUUAAAGCUGAAAAAAAAUUUCAAUUACAAAACUGGGUGUGGACAAGUCCCAAUGUUUAGAAAAUUAAGGUUAUUAGCUAUACAUAGGUCAUAUAUUACUGUCUUUUUGUACACUUUAUUGAAUGAUAAGUCAUUAAGGUUAGGUGUUUGUCUGGUGGCCAUGAUUAAAAAGCAAAUGAUCACAAGUCAUUGCAAUCUAAUUCAUUUGCAUAUAGAAUUGUAAAGUGGUUAAGCUAGCAGACAAGGUUUGCUUUUGGCUUGAUUUUCUUGUUUGCUUAGGGUCCAUUGUGCCUCUAUCUCCUCCUCCUCUUUCAUUGUCUUAGCUUAAGCUAAAUGGUGGCUGCAAGCUAUCAAAAGAAGUGCGAAGACCAUGUGUUUCCCUCUAAAAAAAGAAAAUUAUCUUGUUUCAAUUCAAGUCCCUCUCACUGAAACAAAAGUUUCCGGAUGAUGAUUUGGUCAUCUAGAAAAAAAAAAUCAUAUUAUUAUGAGCUACCUCGUUAAAUAGUAUAUAAUAUUUUGAAUAUAAUUGAUGUUUGGUUUUGAUUUUGAAAGUUGUAUGGUUGUUUUUUUGUUUUUGAAAGAAAGCGAUGAAUUAUAUUAAAGCAAAAUCACAAUUAUUUAAGAUCACUUAACAAAACAUCUUGAAUGAUAUUGGGAGGAUCCCCACAUCAACAAAAUAAGUCUGAUCAAGAUAAAGCAUAACAAGCACGUCUAUGAGCUACUUGAUUAGUUUCACGAAAAACAUGAACAAUCUGGCACAUGAGCCAAAAGAAUUAUGCAAUCUUCAAUAAUUUAUAUUUUUUUCGUGCUAUGUUCAAUCAACUAUAUAUUAUAUAUGUUAUGAUUCAAGAUGAUAAUAGAGAGCUUGAUGGCUGCAUUUGACCUUUGUUGCAGGCCGAUCAACGCAAUGAAGUGUUGAGCAAGGUGUUUGACAUAAAAAAAACCAAUUGAAUUGAUAUCCUAAGUCAAAAAUGACUCUGCCCCUCCCCAAAGAAUCGGUGGAUUACAUUGAGAUGAGAUAAGGUCAAAAUCCUUUACAAAAUAUUUAAAAUUCAAGCUUGAAAUAUGAGAAAUGUUACAUCUGGGCAGCCCAAAGGCCCAAAGGCCCAAAGAAAGUUGAAUUUGGGCUGAAGUGUUUUCAAUAACAAAAUCAAGAAAAACUGAAGGACCCAUCAAUUUUUUCAAUUUUUUUUUUCUUUUUAAGGGGUAAAUUUGAUACUCUAAAUUUUACUAAGUGGGGAAAGAUACUUGUGUUGAGUGCAAAUAAAAGUACCUUUUAAAAGAGCUUUUUUUUAGGUUACAUACAGUUUAUUGGAUAAAAUUGAACUAAAAAUGUGGAUAAAUCGAAUUUAAUUUUUUUUCGAUUUAACCAAUUUUUUCAUGAACAAUCCAGAAGAAAAAAAAACUUAAAACUUAAAUAUUUUACAGCUCAAAAAUAAGAUUUCCUUAUGUUUGUUAAAUAAGUAUAUCCGAUCAUUAGCAAUUUAAACAAAAGAUAUUUUAACAAGAAGUGGAAUUAGUAUGCACUUCUUUUCUAAGCAAUUUGAUAAUGAGGAAUCGUAGAGGCAUAUUCUAAGUUGUUAUGAUACUGUACUUCGCAUUUUAUUAACAGCGGUGCAGGACCCAUCUGAUCAACCGUUAGUUUCCAUCAAGAAAACAAUCUUCUAAUCCAACGGUCCCAAUUAAGGUAGCGGAGGACCCAUCAGCAAAGACUGUUUCAUUUUUCUUCGGUAACCAUCUCCAACACGGUUUCUCAACCAAUCAGAGUGAGCUGUGAGCAACGAAACAUACCUUCUAGGUGGGGCCUGUUUGUUUGGGGCGCAAUCAUAAACUUCGGCCACGUAUGCAUUAAUUAUGAGCGGAUAAAGAAACCUUCUUUUUCUAAAACAUCCAAUUCGUUUUAGAAAUUAUAGAAAUUAUUAAAUUAAUAGAUAAAUAUCAUAAAUUAUAUAAUAUAAUUAAUAUAUAAAUAGGAAAAACCCAAAGCAAAGCCACCACUGUAUUAUCAUCGUCAACCAAACCAAACCAAACCAAACCAAGCUCACGGGAUUUCGUGGACUUUCUGAUCAAGAAGCUCUCUUUUUGCUUUCUGGGUUCGUCUUCAGACUUCACGAGGUUCGAUUUUCAUCUACUAUUUCGUAUUAACUCCCUUUCAUUUUUGUACCCUGUUAAUAUAAUCUGUUGAUAAUAACCCAGUAGUCUUUUGAUGUCAGAAUUGACUUCUGAUUGUCUUUCUGUGUGUCAAAAUCUGAGUUUUAGAUGGUGAAUUUCAUGGGGGUUUGAUUUUCAGUAAUAUUUUGUGUUUUUUUCUUUUUAAUUUCAAUAUUUUAUAAUCCAUCUGAUCAAGGGUGUUAAUUAAGAGAUAAAGAAGAUGUUGUUUACUUUUAACUUGUGUAAUUGAACUGAAUUGCUUUUGAUUUUUACUUUUUGCUUCUGUUGUAUGCUAAUUUCAGGCAGCAUGGCAAAGAGUUACUUCAAGCAAGAACAUGAUCUUGGUAUGUAGUAUUUUUCAGCCCAAAGAGUUGUUUUUAUUACCUUGUCGAGUUUAUUUAAUAAAGGAACGUUAGUCAAAGAAUUUUGAUGUUUAUGGUUUGUAUUAUUUUCAGAGAAGAGACGGGCAGAGGCUGCUAGGAUCAGAGAGAAAUACCCAGAUAGAAUUCCAGUAAGAAUUUGAAAUCCAAACUCAGUUAUCCAUUUUCAAUUACUGCCCAUGAUGUGAAAUACUUACACAUGAUUUUUAUGUAGGAAAUUAUUUGAAUGGUUCUGUAUUAUUUGUCUCUGGCACUAAAUUUGCGUAAAUUAUUAUGCUUGUCUGUUUUAAUGAGAUUGUAUCAGCUAAUAGAGAAGUUGAUUUCAGAUGUGUUAAUAGUUUCCACAAGCAUGCAUUCUUUUUUGGAUUUCUUACCCAUGUGUGUAAAAUCUUCAUUUUAUGAUUUGAAGGUGAUUGUGGAGAAGGCAGAAAGAAGUGAUAUCCCAAACAUUGAUAAGAAAAAGUAAGCUUUACUUUCUCUCUUGAUCCCUGAUAUAUAACAUUGCUGCUUGUUGAUUCCAUUUUUCUUGUUUUUCUUAGUUCAAUUUCUAGCAAAGUUUACAUCUUUCCAAUUUAGGACCAAAGUUUAACUGGCCCUCUCUUUUCUCAUCUAAUUCUUCCAAAGCCUUAAGUUGGAUGUUCUUUAUUUGUUAUGUUUAAUAUAUCGUUAUUGGUAAAAUGGCGAAAAUUUGGUUAUGUUUGAUUGCCUCUCUAUGAUAUUUCAACAACAUCCGUUGCUUUUUGACUGUUUCUUUGACUAUAAACGGAAUCUGAAAAUUACAGGUACCUUGUCCCAGCUGACCUAACUGUUGGACAAUUCGUUUAUGUUAUCCGCAAAAGGAUUAAGUUGAGUGCAGAGAAGGCUAUCUUUAUAUUUGUGGACAAUGUACUCCCACCCACAGGUAAAUUCUUGUGAAAUUGUCUUUUAGAGGAUGGUGCCUUCUGCUUGGCCUUUUGAUUGAACAUGUCCCAUCUAUAAUGUCUUCUGUCUUUUGCAGGUGCAAUCAUGUCUGCCAUAUAUGAAGAGAAGAAGGAUGAAGAUGGGUUUCUCUACGUCACUUACAGUGGUGAGAACACUUUUGGUUAUCAGGUUCCGCUGUAGCCCUCGAUUAGUUGGAUACCCGCCAUCUUUCUUCCAGUCCCAGCAUACCUGAUUUUAUCGCUUCAUCUUCAUUACCUUGUUCUGAAUCCGAUGCUGCUUUUAUCAUGCCUAGUUCAUAAACACCUCUGUGGUGAUAAUGUGUAUAGUCACAUAUUGUAUAUAAUUUCUAAGCUCCGGUUUAACAUUAAAGUUUCUUGCUUGUUGCUAUUCAUAAUCAUUCAAUGAAGCUACCGGUUUAUUGCCAGUUUUGGCUGGGUCAUGGUUAUGGGAAGCUGUGACUUUGACCAAAGUUUUAAUGCAAACCUUUCUUCGUGUUGCAUCUUUUGACAUGCCACAAUGCAUACUAAUGUGCCUUAUGACAUAACGUUUGCUGCCUAGAACAUCAAUCUCUGCAUAUUUUCGGGUGCCUUCACCGGCACUCACUGCCAGUUAAUUGCUAGGAAGAAUUGUCUAGACGGCCAUGAAAAAGAAAUAGAAAUAGAGAGGAAAACAGAGUGAUUUUCCCCCAUUUCAACGCUUACAUUUAAAGCUCUAUCUCUUUCCGUCUCUCUCUCUCUCUCUCUCUCUCUCUCUCUCUCUCUCUCUAAGUUCAACGCCCAAAGAUAAAGACACUGAUUAUUAAAAGGGGGCGCAAAAGCCAUAAAUGGGAGAGAUUGAGCUGUGUAUUUGUCAUGGGCCGGAUUAAUUUUCUUUGGGUCUAAGUGUCAUGGGAGAUUGAUCAAACCCAAGCCUUGUACGCAACUUCUGUUGUUAAUCUAAUGAAGCUUUGGUUGGCUAAGAACUUUUAUACUUCUAUACGUCUAUAUGCUAUGCUAAGAGCACUUCCACUCCUAUGGGCAAGGGCUGUCACUAUUCACGUGAAUAGUGGCAUUCCUUGCAAUUUUGUUUUCACCCUUAGAGCAAUUCCACUCAUUUGCCAUGACAAAGGACAAAGGAAAGGCAAGAGCUAUUACUAUUUACGUAAAUAGUGGCAGCCCUUACAUGGCUUGUGGUGUUUCCACCCAUUGCCAUGACAACCACUAUUCACAUGAGAUAUGAGGAGUAAUGGAUCAAAGCAAAGGAUAGCUUUUUAGCUGCGAGCGGAUGAGCGAGAAAUGGAAGUGCCUUGUUAAGCGACUCCUUCCUGCCCCUUACCCCUUGGUGUAAAUAAGAGUUUUUGGUGUGGGAAGUGAAUAAUAUGACAAAGUAUUUAUUUAAAAAAAAUUAAAAAAAUUCUGAAAAUUCUAGUAUUUUUUUAUAUUAUUUAUUGUUUUUUUAUAUAAAAAAUUCGUUGCUGAUGUCAUCGCUGACGUCAGCAAACCCAAGCAAUAGCCUAGGCUGUUUUUGCCUUUGGGCUAGCUUGAUUUGCUGGGACCCAGCUGCUGCCCGGGCAGCUUAGGCCCACUGGAAUGCCAACCUACGAUUUGGGCUCCCUUUUGCCCUGGCAAAGGCAACCGCUGGAGUUUAUGGGCUAGGGUAAGGGCAAUUAUUACUCACAUGAGAUAUGAGGAGAUGAAUUUGUAUAGAGUUUUUAGUGUGGGAAGUAAAGAAUAUGGCUAGGUAUUUAUUUUUAAAAAAUUCAAAUUUUUUGGUAUUUUUUUCCUUUUUUUUUCUUUAGUUGCUGACGUCAGCAUCAUGUCAUUUUGCCCAAGCAGCAGCUCAGGCUGAACUUUCCAGUGGGCUUGCCCAGGUUGCUGGGGGCCCAUUGUUUGCCCAGACUGGAACUCUUGCGCUGGAGUUGCCUUUGGGUGCUUGGGCCCCUUCUUGUCAAGGCUCCCCCUCAGUGGUGGAAAUGCUCUAAGAGCAGAUAACUUGUAGAUAUUAUAUGUUUUUCUUUUUCUAGACACAAUUUAUUAAUUGUUCGUUGGACUUGAGCUUCUGCUAGUUAAACUUGGAGAUGACUUGUAGGUAUGAAAUUGUACUUUCCUAAACAGACUUUCUUAAUUGUUCAUUAAACUUUUGAAACAAGCUAAAUUUGUUACAAGCCAAGGGAAAAACUUUGAGAACUUAAGAUACUUGUCAAAAGAAAAAGCUUGACUCCUUAAAAUUGGGGAGAAACACCUCCUUAAAACAAAUGGGAUUCUGAGACUAGUCAAUUUUAUUUAUUUUGAAAUUCUUUUAACUUUCUUUGUUUUGGAAUUUGAGAAGUGUCAAAAUCUCAGGAUGAGCUCCUUCUUUUUUGUUUUUUUUGUUUUUUGUUUUGAGGAUAUUUCCUAUUGAGAGGGGUGAUUACAAGGAUGCUAGGACUCGAACCCAAGACCUUUCCUUUUAUUGGGGAGGGGGGAGGGGGGGGGGGAAGCAAUUUCUCCAAACCACUACAUUAGUAGGUCCUUUUACGAGGAGCUCCUCCUUAGUUUUAAAGAGACAAACUUUAUCGUUUUGCUUGUGUAGAUCGAUUUUUCUUUGAGAAAUAACUUUGUCAAAUGGGUUAUGCCUUGUUUGUGCUCAAAACUAGAUGAACAAAAGUGGGCCCAAACUUAAAGAUAUGAUGUGGUGUGAUCUGCCUUCAGUAAGAGCUUCCCUUCGGUAGGCUGAAGGUUAUCUGCAAGGAGAGAAAUGGAAGAACAAGGAGUGAGACCUAAGGCACAGGUAUGAUAUCGACCGAAGGCCCUUCAAUACUAAAGUUAGUUGAAGGAGAUAUGAGUUCGUUAUAGACAAGGCAAUGUCAUAAGUGUCAAGUAACUAUUACCUUGUGCCCUAGGGGCAAUGGGCUUUAUUUAUAGAGGUUUUGGGUGUCCUCUUGGCGUAAACUUUCGAUGUGGGACUCAUGGGAAUAGCUUGGGGGGCUGCCAUAUGUCCUAUAGAGUAUACCAAUAAGGAACCCAAUAGAUUCUUGCAAGAUACAUUUUGGGAGGUUAAAUCGGCAGGGGGUGACGAGUGCACUUGCCGACUAUCAAUUGUGAGCCUGCGAGACUGGGUUGGCCAGUGUAGAAUCGGUAAGACACCCACCGCUCAUAAGGCUGGGUUGGCCAGCUUGAGCUUCUGAACCCUGUUUGGUGUUAGGUUCCUUCCACGUGUCAUGGCAUGAGAGGCUGGUCAUAUUUGAUACAAACAUGCAUGAUAUGAGCCAAGCAUAGCACACAAAGAAUGCUAGAACAAGUAAUCAAACGUCACAUGAGCAAUUGUUAAUGAAAGAUAAGGUUAGUAAUUCAACGUCACGUGAAUAAUUGUUAACCGUUGACAAUAUGAGCUACAAAUUAUGUUGUGACAAACAUAAAUAAUAUUUCAAUAUAUUUCUGUAACAUAUGUUAUUCUUAUUCAAUAAUAUGUGAGAAUUAUUUGUAUAAUACAUGAAUUUUGUGUGUCUUACUGAAAAUUUUGAAAAAAAUACGUGUAUUAAAUGUUAGAAAUACUUACGUACAUGUACAAUACGACUAUUGUACAAUUACUUUUUAAAAAAAGUGAGACGUGUAUAGAACACUAAUGUAUUAUUGAAAAAUAUAUAUAUAUAUAUAUAUGUAAAAGCCUAUAGCCGCUUGUCUAUACUAUUUAUGAAAGACAAUUUUUUUUAAAAACGUAACGCCGCAUGGCUAUACUAUUUUUGAAAAAAAUUAAAAAAUCUCGUAUAGCCGCACGGCUAUACUGUUAAAAUAAAAUAAAAUUAGUGUAGCCUCCUAGCUAUACUAUUUUUUAAUAUGAAAAGUGGACCCCUGCGAUAGGCGCCACGUGUCAACAGAAGUCUAUUUUAAAAAAAAAAUUAAAAACAUAGAGUAUAGCCGUGCAGUUGCACUAUUUUAAAAAAAAAAAAAACCGCUCUAGCCAUAAGGCACCACGUGUCAAAAAUAAGUAUCGCAGCCCGGUUAUACUAUUUUUUUAAAUACAAAAUCAUAGUAUAGCUGCAGGGCGAUACUAUUUAAAUACAUUAUAUUUAAAAGGUAAAGCCGACCGGCUAUACUAUUUAAUAAUUUUUAUUUUUAUUUUAAAAAGGACCUUCCUAUUUGCAUUAGUUUGUACUUUAUAGAUCUUAAUUUGCUAGUUUCAACAUAUCCGAAGUAGAUAUUAAUCUUCCACUAUAUAAUAUUUCAAUAUAUUUUUUUUUUAUAACCUAUGUUAUUCUUAUUCAAUAAUAUGUGAGAAUUAUUUGUAUAAUACAUGAAUUUUGUGUGUCUUACUGAAAAUUUUGUAAAAAAUACAUGUAGUAAAUGUUAGAAAUAUGUACGUACAUGUACAAUACAAAAUAUUGUACGUUUGCUUUUUAAAAAAAUGUGAGACGUGUGUAGAACACUAAUGUAUUAUUGAAAAAUAUAUGUGUAUAUAUAUGUAAAAGUCUAUAGCCACUCGUCUAUCCUAUUUAUAAAAGACAAUUUUAAAAUUAUUAUAUAUAAAAAAAAAACCUGCAAAGCCGUACGGCUAUACGAUUUUUGGAAAAAAAAUAAAAAAUCGUGUAUAGCCGCUCGGCUAUACUCUGAAGACCGCAAAGGCACCCACGUGUAAAAUAGUACAGCCGCCCGGCGAUACUGUUUUAAAAAAUAUUUAAAAAAUGAGUAUAGCCGAUUGACGAUACUAUUUUUUAAUUUAACACUCCCAGCGAUAGGCGCCACGUGUCAACAGAAGUCUAUAUAAAAAAAAUAAAAAUAAAAACAUGGAGUAUAGCCAUGCGGCUGUACGAUUUUUUUAAAAUUAUAUAAAAAGAAUACCCUCUAGCCAUAAGGUGCCACGUGUCAAAAAUAAAGUAUAGCCGGGCGCGGCUAUACUAUGUUUUUAAUAAAAAAUCGUAGUAUAACCGCCCCGCGAGAAUAUUUAAAUACAAUAUAUUUAAAGGUAAAGCCGCUCGGCUAUACGAUUUAAUAAAAUAAAAAAAAAGGAAAACUGAAAAAAGGACCUUCCUACUUGUAAUUUAUAGAUCUUAAUUUGCUAGUUUCAACAUAUCCAAAGUAAAUAUUAAUCUUCUACUAUAUAAUAUUUCAAUAUAUUAUUCUUAUUCAAUAAUAUGUGAGAAUUAUUUGUAUAAUACGUGAAUUUUGUGUGUCUUAUUAAAAUUUUUGUAAAAAAUACGUGUGUUAAAUGUUAGAAAUACAUACGUGCAUGUACAAUACGACUAUUGUCUAUUUGCUUUUAAAAAAAAACGUGAGACGUAUAUAAAACAUUGAUGUAUUAUUGAAAAAUAUAUGUGUAUAUAUAUGUAAAAGCCUAUAGCCGCUCAUCUAUAUUAUUUAUGAAAGACAAUUUUAAAAUAAAUAAAUAAACUAGUAAAGCCACACGGCUAUACAAAUUUUGAAAAAAAAUAAAUAAAUCGGGUAUAGCCGCCUGGCUUUACUACAGAGCGCAAAGGCACCCAUGUGUAAAAUAGGAUAGCCGCGCGGCUACACUGUUUUUAAAAAAAUAAACAAAAUGAGUAUAGCUGCAUAGCUAUACUCUUUUUUAAAUAUAAAAAAGUGGUUCCCUAGCGAUAGGCACCACGUGUCAACAGAAGUCUAUUUUGAAAAAAAAUAAAAACAUGGAGUAUAGCCGUGCGGCUGUACUAUUUUAAAAAGAAUACCGUCUUGCCAUUAGGUGUCACGUAUCAAAAAUAAAUAUAGCCGCCCGAUGAUACUACGAAUGAAUUGGUCUCGUACAUGUUCAUGGUAGGCUGACCCACAGGUUUUAAAAUGGCCUAGGCCCAAUAGCUGUUAAACUGAAAAAACAAAACAAUCCAAACUAUUUGGCCAAGGCGGGGGUGAUGUGGCGGGAAAAGCAAGUGUGAGGCACAUGGAGUACAUGCCACGUAGAGUGCAUACUAAAUACCGACGCUGGUGGGGAAUGGUGGACCUUUCCGUGUCCACAAAGGAGCUGCAUUUGACGGUCUGGCCAUGCUCCUUUGUCUCCUCAUCCCAUGUCCCUACCUCCCACUACAUUCUUGGACACUUAUGGGUCCUUUCAAUUUCUUCCAAACUUCAUUUACAACUUCAUACAAUCUCUUACCCAAGUCAAUUUCACUCAUUUAACUUAACUAGUUACAAUAACUUGUGUUUUAUCUGUGUGAUUAAUGGCGCAUACGUGAAUUAGGUCAGUUGGAUAAUACAAUGUACUCAUCUUUCUACACUCGAAUUCGAAUAAUUUUUUAUAUAAUUAAAAUUGACUGAAAUCAGACAUCUUAAAAUCACUAGAGUAAAGAUAUGUUAGCUAUGGUAAAAAGUAGAAAGCCAUAAUGUAAUAAUACUUUUUCACACAAAAACAUGGAAUGGGGGAUCCUUCAGAAAUACAUGGGUUGGAGACCAAAUUUACUCAAAUCUUCACCUCGCCAAAAAAUUCUUAUAAAUCAUCUGGUGAUGCUACAUGUAUGAUAUUUACUUAUGAUGAAUACUUCUCUAAUAAGAGUAAAAUUCACAUAUACAAGUGGAUCUCACAUUUAUCAGAAAUGUAAUUCGUAAGUGUAAUACGCCUAUACAUAUUUACGUUAAUUUUGGAGUUAACUCACUUUCCUCCCUCUCUCAAUAUCUAUUCCCAUGCAUUAUGUCUACUAGAUACGUAGCUCAUAUAAUGGUUUUCAGCUUCUUAGGGCCCUCCAAUUGAUUAAAAAGUGAGAGAUGAAGGGAAAAGGGGACAAGGGGAGCCCCCAAUAUCUCAAGUUUGGUUUUACAGGUUCAUCACCCAAACACCUGCAUGUUCUCUUUAAGAACGGUUAUAGUCCCAUACACAACCUGCAUUUAUUGCUCUUCCUUCCCCUCUCACUACAAAUACUCUGCAAAACCUAACACUUAACCCACUCACAUAUACAAGACUUUCAGUUAUUUCCAUUACAUAUUCUCAUCGUCUGUGUGUGACUUUAAGUCUUCAAAUCCUUCAGAUCAUAAUCUCCAAUUUCUUUUGUCUCUCUCAUAAUAUGUCUUCCAUUGUUCUUCUCUUUUUUCUUUGUCUUUCUAUCCAUGCAUGCAAUUCCCGACUUCUAGGCCUUGUUGAUAAGCAAAGUGGCAGUAAAUCCUACCAUUCUGUUGAGGUGGGUGCAAAUAUUUCAACAUCUGAUUAAAUUCUUGUACAUAAUAUUUUGAGAAGUUCUGCCAUGGAGUUUUAAUUCCAUCAUGUGGUGCACACAUGCCUUAUUUAUUGUUAUUUAACCAAAAAAAAUUGGUCAUCAUAGUACCUUGUUGAAUUGUUAGAACUGCAUGCGAUAAUCUGGAGUACUUAAUUGUUUCCCAUCACCGGUUGAAAGCAAACCAUGUGUCUCAUCACAUGACCCUAUCACGUGCUGACAAAGAUAGACACAUACAACGUGCGAAACAUAUGAAAGAAAUCUAAUAACUUAAGUGAUUAUUAGUUUUAACUUAUUGAAGCGGCCUAAUUAUUUUAGGGUUGGUGCAGGAUGUAGCGAAAGUCUUAAGUGAGACUUUAAAGUCAUCGAUGAUGCCUACCAUCUCAGUUGAAUACCAAGCACAACAAAUAAACGCUGAAACAUUCACCCAUGAAAGUAUCCCGACGGCUCUUUUGAGGAAACAAGGGCAUGCCAAUGGACCAGCCUCAGGUUCUUAUAAAUCUUCGAAUCAAUUAGGUCAUUAUUUUUUGGUUUUGUAUAUAUAUUCUUGUUGAUGAUGAAGAUAUGCAUGGUGGUGUGCAGGAUAUGAUAUUAUUGCAUUAUCUUCCCAGGUUGAGCUGAAGAAAUUGAUUGAAAUGCAGGUAUAUAAGUUACUGGGUGCAAUUUAGUAUUUUUAUUAGAUUGUUUUGAAUGAUCUCUGUUACACUGGUGGUGCAAGUGGCCAUAUCUACUGUAACCAUGUCCCCUGUGAGGAAAUCAGGGCAUGUGGUCUGCUCAUGCAUGCACUGUACAUAUAGCCGUUUGUGAGAUACAUGAUACAUACAUAUAAUAGGGCUGAGAAAAAAAAAGGUGUGUAAAACCUAAUUAUGUUAUGAGUCUUAUGUUUAUGAGCUAGAUUGUGAAUCUGAUUCACAUAUUAAUAUGCUAAGAGAACUUAAUCGAUGAAUCAGAUCGAUUCAGUAUUUGCAAUUGUCAUGACUCGUGAUAAGAUAAUCUUUACAUAUAUGUAUCUAUAUCAAUUAUAUUUUGCAUGGAAAUUAUUGCAUAUGAAUAUUGAUGCUGUAUGAUUUUAGGGAUUGAAGAGGCAGGCACGGACAUUACUGGGAUCUGCAACACAUAACAUGGAGGAAGACAAAGAUUCGAAGGAAGAUGAAGCUAUUGAGGUCGUAGGUGUUAUGGAUUAUGCACAACCUCACAGGAAGCCACCCAUUCACAAUAGAAAGUCCUAGACAUAUCCGGAUUUUCUGCUUCUGGUGGAAUUUACUUCAUUUCUAGCUAGCUAGCACUUAAAGAAAAAUUAUAUAGUGAUUUGUCCUUGGUUGGUGGGAAAGGUGUUUGUAAUUUACCUGGUCUAUAGAAGAAAAAUAAAUAUAAAUAAAAACUCUCUUGCAAAACCUUGGAAAAGAAGAAGAAGAAGAAGAAAAAAGAAAGAUUCUGUCCUCGUGAUUGAUACAGAACACGUGUUUUCCUUUGCUGCAACAGUGACAAGUCCAGUAGUGACAAAAUGGUGAUUUGAUGGAUGAUGGCUCCUCUUUUUUAUUGUUUCUAUGUGUGUUUUUAGGUUGACGGAAUAAUAAAGGAUUGUAAUCUAAGUGAAACAUAUUACAUGGAUGUGUCGCAUGGAAACCUUCUUGCUUGUGUUGUCAUUGUCAUCCAUUUGGGUGGUAUUUCCAAGUUUCUCCAUUUCGAGUGAUUGGUCUAGUCAAAUAAGCUGCACGUUAGAGCAACUCCACCCAUUUGCCCUUAGCCAUGGCAAGGGGGGAGCUAGGGCAGCCACUAUUCACGUGAAUAGUGGUUGCCCUUGCAAAUAGUAUUUUGAGUUUCCACCCAUUGCCAUGGCUAAGGGCAAUUACUAUUCAUUUUUUUGUUUUUUCACAACUUUUUUUUACUUAAAUAAUUAAUUUGGAUAAUAUUUUCGGAUAAGAUUUUUGGGUUCCUACGUGUCAAUACUAUUCAUAUCGGAUAAGAUUUUAUUUUAUUAGUUGUAUUGGUUGGUAUUCAUUUAAAAAAAAAAAUUAGGAUUUGGUGUUAAAAGUGAAGAGUAUUGGUUGGUAUUUAUAGACACGGGCGGACCCAUAAUUUUUUUAGCGGAGGUGCAAUAUUGGCUAAGUAUGAAAAAUGGUUUUUCGGAAUAAUUAUUUUCUCAAGAUAAUUUUUGGCGGCUUUUAUUCCUUACACAUCAAAUAAGAAAACUUGAUUUUAUGGGAUUUUAAUAUGAAGUAUAUAUUGACUUAAUGAGCCAUCAUUUUUAGCCUAAAUCGUAUUUUGCACUAAAACCGAUUUUUCAUAUUUUGAUUUGGUGGGAAUUUGAUUUUCUAGUAUUUUUAUUUGAAUCCAAAUGGGGGGUACUUCCUUAUUUACAUUGUAAACUUAAGUAAAUGGAGUAAUAUAAAAAUAAAUUAAAGUAAAAGGACAAAGACAUUUACUUAAAUGUUGAAAAUGGAAAUAAGGUAUAGAGGAAAAUGUUGAGUAAAGAGUGAAUAAUAGUAGAAGUAUAAUGAAAUGUAUGAGGAUUGGUGUUGAAAGUGAAGGGUAUUGAUAGGUAUUUAUAGAAAAAAAAUAUCAGAAUUUUUUAAAAACAUUUACGAUUUUUUUCAUAUUUUUAUUGCCCAAAAAAGCCUCAGCCGUUGGAUUAAUUUGGAGAAGCAGAUCGGAAGGCUGGGGAGGCGACACGUGGCAGCGUACCUUGGACCUGGCGCGCUGACGUCAGCGUGACGCGAGGCUGACGUCAGCAACACGCGAGUUGGACCUCGGGCUGGUCUCGCCUUCGGGCUGGCCCGAGUUGGUGGGUCCCACACCACCCCCGGGCCUGGGCUGUACGCUGGAGCGACUUUUUUUUUUUUUCCUGCCCUCGCCUCGGGCUGGGCUCCCUCGCUGGAGCUGCUCUUAAAAAGACCAGGAAGGUGCAUCCAAAAUAAUCACGUUCAAUUAGUUGGUUGCUAAGGCUUGCUGCUUUUCUGUCGGGGACCAAAUUAUACUAGGUUCAGUUACGCAUGUACAAAUGAGUGAUUUUGAGUUAAAUUAUGAUAGAUUCAAUCGCGCAUGUACAAAUGAGUGAUUUUGAGUUGUUAAUGUGCUUACGAGUGAUUUUAAGUUGUUAAUGCAUUGUGAGGUCCACAUGCAUCAAUAGUUGACGCUAACCUUCCUCCUCUGAAAGUAUAUAGCUACCUACUUUCUAAUUAACCACACUUCAGAGACGGAUAUGUUUCACAAAUUGUUGACACCAUGCCCCCACUUUACAAUGAAUUCCACAUUCCAUUUUGGUGACUUAGAAAUGGUAGGGAAAUAAGUAAAACAAAAUAGCCAAAUUAUAUGUUUGCCCAUGUUCGGUAUCUAAGAAAGCAGUAGCAAUUCACAAAAUCUUCCAUAUAGGGGCUGAGUUUCACAAGCUGGCAAGAAACCAGCACAUGCUCUAUACACAAACUACAGUGGUUGGUUAUGGGCCACAACGUUUUGAAAUGAAUCGAUCUUUGGUGCGAGUAAAAGCUACAUGAUAGUAACUAGAUAUUUAUGUCUGGUAGCACAAAUAUUCAACCAAAAAUAAGCUAAUCAAGAUUCAAGAUUGGCAGGACCAGCGGUUCAAUAUGCGCUCUUGUUUGAUGAAGUAUUCUUUUAUAAAUUUGGAUUGUGGUUUCUUUAGAUUAAUCAAGUACUGCUGCAGCUGACAAUAAAAGGUUUAACGAAGUUUAUAAAUUCAGAGGUUCUGAUGCCCAGCUUCAGAUCGAUCUCGCCACCCCCCAACCAGAAGAAAUCAGGACUAAGUUUCUGAAUUGCUUCAUCCAAGAUCACCUGAAAGUGAAACCAACCCAUACAUCAUCACAUUAAGAAGAGCAAAAUCUGUCUACACACAUAUGCAAAUUCAUCUAAUCUUAUGCUUACUAAAAUUUAGUGUGAAAGUGCUAGGUUGUGGUCAUCACAGACAAUAACUACAAUGUCAUUUCAUAAUGUUUUGUGAUUUCUAGUUUAUGAUACAUCAUAUGACCCAUGAUAGGAAAAUGAGUAUCCACUGUUCAAGCAUUUUCUAAGUACUUCAGACAUUAUAAUACACUCCCUACACUAAUGCAUGUGCAAACACACGCAAAAGAGUGUUUGCUGUCUAACAAACCUAGCUAAAUAAUCUACCUCUCAAAAUAAAUACCUUCUUUUGGAAGAUGUGGCAGACUGGCAGACACUCGUUAAUCAAAUACAACCAAUACAAUGGACCACCAUUUGACAACCCAAAACUUGACACUCUCGGACUAAUAGACAGUUGAUAUCUGAAAAGUGGACCAGCUCAACAGCUGGUAUGAAGGUUGGCAUGACUGAACUUAUAAACAGGGUUCCUGGCAAUUGAACCUCGGGUCCUUCUGUGCUGGAGCUUAUCAUGAAAGGGAACUGAAGUAGUUUGUCUCAAGAACACAGGACAGCACAGGUGUAGCUUAUAGUUGUAGGGAGGUAAUGUUUACAGUUGUUGUAUAAGCUUAUGAAACCUUGAGAGCAUGUUACAGAAAGUUUAAAAGAAAUGGACCACAAUUUAGAUACAGUUUCCAUCCUAGUUUCAUCUAAUCAAUCACAUCAGACUUCUGAGCAAUCAGUUAAUUGGUUUUACAAUUUUCAAGGGACAGAUGCAAAGGCAAAGGAUCUUGAGUGACAAGUCAAGCAAAAAUAAUUCUGGUACCACGAGACCACAAAAAACAAUUCCAACUCCAAAGGGCAACAAAUACGUAGUAAAUAGAUGAAAGAAACAAGUGUUCACCGGAAUGCCUGUUUUCAUGCCAACACAUGUAACUCCGUUGUGCUCAAAUCCAGUCAAUUCUACUGAAGUUUCCUCAGGUGCAAGCCUCACUGCAUAAUCAAAUAACAAACAUUAUCACCUUCUGAAAUACAAUAAGAAAAAUUUAAUGUAAACCUUGAAGAUAUAAACAUAUUAAAAAACUCAUAACGGAGAACUGAAAGAAAAUCCAACAAUGCAGCAUAUUUUGGAACACUUUUUUUUUCUCUUGCAGAGAACUUUUGAACACUUCCACGGUAUAUACUUAGAAAUACAAAACGACGGUUUAUGAUAAAACAACAGGAGUAAUACAAAAGAAACAUAGACUGGAAUUGGACAGUCCUCUUUUUUUUUUCUUCCUCAACUGUCCGACGAGGCAGGAAAGGGUUAAGAAUGAAUAUGUUAUACAAUAACAUUGGAACAUGUCUCUAUGGAUUUAAAGGAGAAGGCUCACACAAAAAUUAUUAGUAUUUUUAUUUGCACACGUACAAAAUCCUGGAAGGCAUUUUCUUGGAGUUCCCAAGAAGAACCAUGUGAAAAGAGUGGGACCAACUUCCCCUGAGAGUGAAGGAAGAAAUGGGUGGAAUCUGAGAAGAUAGGAAUAAAGCCGUAUCAAAAACAGUUUGCCUAGGAAGGCUGGCAUUGAAGGAACUUUUGUAAUACUUCUACAGUGGAUGUGAAAAAGAGGGAUGACCAUAGGAAUAAAACAGGAUUAAUACUGAAGUACCAUAGCAUGGACGUGGAGCAAAUUUUUUGUUGUUUUAAAUCAACUGCCCACUAAAGCAAAAAUGCAUUAAGAAAAAAUGUUAUCUGAUAACAUUGGAACACAUCUCCAUGGGUUUAAGGAGAAGGUUCAAGCAGAAAGGAUAGUUUGAUCUACGCACGGAUAAAAGUCUGGAAACCAUUUUGUUGGAAGAUUAGGUUCCCAAGAAGAUCUAUGUGCAAAGAGUUGGACCAACUUUCUUUGAGAGAGUGAGAAAAAAAAAAAAGGAGGAAUCUAAGAGGAUCACGAAUAAAGCCAUCAAAAAAACAGUUGGACUAGAAAAGCCAACAUUGCAGACAUUUUCUGAAUAAUUAUACAGUGGAUAUAAAAAUGAUUACAGAAUAAACAGAAGGAAUAGAAAAGAAACAUAAAAUGGAGUUUGAAUAACAUUUUUUCCCGUCAGCUUUCGAUUGAGGCAAAAAUGGUUACGAAAAAAUGUUAUCCAGUAGCAUUGGAAUGCAUCUCCUAUGAGGAGAAGGUUCAAGCAGAAAGGAUAUUUAUUUGAUUUACGCACAGAUAAAAUCCUGGAUACCGUUUUGUUGGAUAACAUGUUACCAAGAAGAACUAUGUGCGAAGAGUUGGACCAACGUUUUUUGAGAACUGAAGAAAGAAAUAGGAGGAAUCUGAGGUGGUCAUGCAUAAAGCCAUCUGAAGAAUAGUAGAACCAGAAAAGCCAAACAAUGCAGCAAAUUUUAAGACACUUCUUACAGUAGAUCUCAAAAGAAAGGAUGAUAACAGCAUUAAAAUGGAGUAAUACAAAAGAAACAUAGAACGGAAUUGGACCAUUCUCAUGUUAUCAAACAAUGAGGUGCAUAAUUUAGUAACAUCAGCAUCUAAACACACCACAAUCACCUACCCCAAAAUCACAUUGCUAUUUCUUUUUAUGUGACAAUAAAAACCCAUCUUUGCGCCAAUUUUCGUAGUACGAAUAAUGCAUUCACCAGAAAAGAUAUAAAUCUAAUAUCACCAGAGUCCGAACACAAAACCUACUACUAAGUACUAAUAAGUACUAACUCACAUUGCUAGUUUGCCACCUACUUGACAGUAUUGGCAUUAUCCAUUCUUUGUUUUUUUUAACAUUGUACUUAAAUGCAUUUACGGCUAUCCAAAAUUUCUGAACAAUGAAAAAUAAAAUUAACUUCAACAUGCAAACAGCAUAGAUCCUAGUUUGGCAUACAAAAAUUGCAAAACUUCAGAACAUCUUAAGAAGUCUUUGAUUUUAAUAGAACAAGAGAACUAACAGUUGAACUUUUUCUUGGCUAUCUUCCCCUCGUUGAGCGAAUACAAGAAGUUCUUUACAGCUUCAGCAUUAAACCGAGCAGUAUACUGCACCCAAAACAAAAGGGUCCAAAUUUCACGCAACUCAUACACCAGCAUUAUAAAUGUCUUAACUUUAAACACAUCCGUUGAAAAAAAAAAAAAAGUUACCUGAACGACCACAACAUAAUACUUUGAAUUGUUGCGGUCACUACAAUCAACCACACUAGAUUGGGCUUGAGUGUUAACCUGGGAAAUGCAAUACAAGGUCCAAAUAAAUAAUUCAAAAAAGAAAAAGCAGAAUGCAAGGGGAAUUGAAGAGGGAUUUCAGAUUGGAGAUUUGAGUUGAAUGAGUUGGGUACCAAGACAAUGCUUUUGCAGAGAUGGUGGACGGAGGCGGCGCCGAGAACGUCGCGCCGGUCAUCGAGAGACCAAUCGUAGUAAUCGGCAGGUACCCUCUUGAAGGCGAAGUCUUUCACGCCAUUGGCGCGGAGAAUGGCGGAGAGACGAGCUUCUGUGGCGCCGAUGGCGUCGUUUUGAGUCGAGGUAGGGAUGGGGGUAGAGCUGUGUUGGGGAAGAGAGGCAGAGGAGGCGAGCUCGAACUUUGAUAUGCGUUCUAGGAUUUGGGUUUGGAAUCGCUCCAGCUCUGCUAGUGAUUUUUCCAUUCUCUCUCUCUCUCUCUCUCUCUCUCUCUCUCUCUCCUGAGUCCAAUUUUCGAGCUUUGGUUAGCCAUACGAACGACGCGUUUCUGAUUGUCGUUUACGAUAUUGUAAACGACAACCGGUCGAUUAAAUAAUGUACAUAACUGUCUUUUUCCUGCUUUGCUCAUCUUUAGUCUCUAUCCGUUCUCUCAGUUGGCCAAAAAAUUGCGUGGUGUUUGGUAAAUUGGUAGGAAUGUUUUGCCAUUGGGAGAGUCUUUGUAUUUUAGAAUAGCAAAAGAAGAAUGUUAGCUACUUUUUCCUAUUGCCUUUUUUAUUUUGUUUUUUUCAUUUAUUUUGUGUCACAUGCGUUUAAUUUACACAUAAAUCUUAUAUAUGUAAUGUAAAAUAUUAAUAUUUUAAUUAAAAAAUAAUUAAAAGGUUUUUGAACACAUUAAAUACAUAAAUUCAUAUGUUCAUGGAAUAUACGUGGCACAAAAUGAAUGGGAAAUGCAAAAAGGGAAAAGCAACACACAAGGUAGCUAGCACUCUUCCGAGUUUGAAAAGCUAGCUUCCUUCCCAUCUUAUGACCCGUUUGGUUCAAGGUUUAGGAGCUUGAGAAUGAGUUUGAAAUUGCAUUCCCAUGUUUGAUAAGUGUACUUUUGGAAAUGCAAUUAUGGACUUACUAGUAUGGACUUCCCAUGUGGGGAGGAAUUUCAUACCCUUGGCUGAGUUUGCGAAUUUUUUCCCCCUACUUGGGAAAGUAGUUAAUGCAAUUUUUUAUGACUAACUUACCCCUAUUCUAUUUUUAAAAUACAAUGUUUUAACUAGGGGUGGCAAUUUUGGGCAUGACCUGUUACACGACUCAAAACUCGCACGAGAAUUUAGCAGGUUCAACCUGCACAUUUAAAAUUUUGGUUCUUUUUGGGUAAACCCGCCAUGAUCUAUUUAAUAAACUGACAAGUUUCGGGUCAAAUCGCCAACACGCUAAAAUACCUAUAUAAUCCGUUUAAUAAAACGGGUCAUGGUGGGUCAACCCGCCAAUCAGCUAAAAUACCCAUGUAACCUGCCAACCCACUAACCCAUUUAUUUGUUUAUUCUUCAUUUUUCUAAUUUUUUUUUAAUGUCUUUUAGUUGCUACCACUUAGGGGGUCAACCUGACACGACCCAAAAUCUGCACGAGAACUUAAUGGGUUAACCCGUGCAUGACACGUUUAUUAAAGGGGUUAGGUUUGGAUUGAGCAUUUCUGACACGUAUAUAAUCUUGACAUGACACGACCCAUUGCCAAUCCUAGUUUUUAACCUUAGAAAAACUCUUCGUAUUUCUUUCUUUGUGAUAUAAAAAAAAAGGUUUAUUUAUUUGCAUGCCCCAUGUGCUUUCAAACUUGUCUCAGAUUACCACUUGGACUUUGAAACGUCUCAAAAUACCCCCCAUAAUUUUAAAAACGAUCUCACGUUACCCAUUUCGUCAGUAUUAUAGAUGUUCCGUUAUGUGCUACGGGCCCUACUUCGUUUUAAUCCUUAACAUUGGAGAAUAAGAGUUUUUUCAGAUUCAGAAAAGAGGAAGGGGGUAUUUGGGUGAGAAGGGGAAAUUUGGAGAAGAAGGCUAGGGCUUAUCAAAAUCUGAGGUGGGGUUUGAAUUUUGGGAGAAUCUGGAGAAGAAAUCACUGUUUGGGCUGGGUUGCUGCUGCUGCAGCUUGUAAUCUAUACCCAGUUCCUAAUCCUUCGCCUUGAAGAUACAAACUACAAAGAACAAUGAUAUAUUUAUAUAUCCCAUUUGAAAUAGAUGAAAGCACAUCAAGAUACAAGCUCAUGUCACCACUCUCUUUCAUAAGAUCUAGAUUGGAUGGGGAAAGGAAUGGAGAAAUGAAGGGGAAAAUAAAAAUCUCCAUCACAUAAAAGAUACUGCCCAGAUAGGAAAGAGGCCAGGUGCUGGAUUUUGUGGGUUUCUCCAUGGAGUAAGACUUAGUUUUUCUUUCGUAAGCCUAUUAUGUCCAAGCUUUCCUCCUGGAAGCCAAGUAUUAGUUGGGUGAUCAAAACUCUGCCAUAUAACAACAGAUGAAUUAAAUGCAUCUGUUAUGAUCCCAUUGUCAAGUAGCAUUGCUACGGUGGAAUGAGAAACCGUUGACUUAGAAUGAGUUGGCCAAACAUAUUAGUUCAAGCAAAUCAUCAGACUUAAACAAAGAGUUAAGUUGUUGCUUCCUCUGUUAUUAACAUUAAUAGUCUCUGGUUUUCCAGGUUACAAAGUUGUUGACAAAUCUUAUGCUGUUAAGAUAAAAUUAAAAGCCCAUCAUCUAUCAAUCAGAACUUGGUAAAUCAGGGCUGCAUUAGCUUGAUACAUCUCUCAAUCAGAACCCAAUUACUUGUAAAAUUGAUUCAAAAAGGGUAAAAAUGUAGGCAAUUUGGGGUCCAUAAUGGUCACUUUCCACCCAAAUUAUAAUUACUUGAUUUAGCUUCAAAUUCAUUAACUAGGUUUAGAGUACUUCUGUGUUCUUCAAUUUGGAAACACAAGUUUUCAGUGGAAGCAGAAAAUCAAGGAACUUUGAAGCAGAGAAAUAACCUGCAUGAGAAGGAAGUAGAACCCAAUCUGCAGUUUUAAUCAAACAUCUCCUCACGUCAAACUACAAAUACACCAUUAUAGUCUGUGAUUGCUUCAAAAUAAAUGUAAUUAACAGACCAUUGUGUUUAUUUGUAUUUAACCAAUUUCUGCAAAAAUCAGUUUAAAGAUUCAAUAUUAAAGCUGAAAUUUCUCAUUCUCACCCAAAUACCCCCUUUCCCUUUUUUGAAGCUGAAAAAACCCUUAUUCUCCAAUGUUAAUGAUUAAAACGAAGUGGGGCCCAAAGAACAUAUCGGAACGUCUAUAAUAUUGACGGAAUGGGUAACGUGAGACCGUUUUUAAAUAUGUGGGGGGUAUUUUGAGACAUUUCAAAGCCCAGGUGAUAAUAUGAGACAAGUUUGAAAGCACAUGAGGCAUGUACAUAAAUAAGCCUAAAAAAAAAGUUAAGGGCAUUGUUGGAAAACUAACAAAUUUUCAUUCCUAAAUCUGCACAAACUAAACAUAGGAAUAGUAUAAAAAUGACAUUUCAUGAUCAUCAUUUCCCAACGUUUCCAAACAUGAGAAUGAACAUCCUUCAUUCCCAUCUCAUGGGAUUAUAUAGGGGAAGUUCAUUUCCAAGAAGUUCAACCCAUGAACCAAACGAGCCCUUACAUUCUCCGUCUUUCAUAUUACCUACUCAUUUUGUGUAAAGUAUAUUUCACUUACACAUAAAUCUAUAUAUAAAAUAUAUUUAAAAACUCUUUAUUCUCUUUACAACAAAAUAUUAGAAUUUUGCAUUAAAUACACGGAUAUAUGUGAGUAGAAUUUACUUGACACAAAUUUAAUGGGAAAGACAAAAAAAGAAAAUUCAAAAGGAAUGCAGCUAACAUUAGAGGUGUUAAACGAGACGGGCCGACCCAGCAUUGCACGAGCUCAGCUCGUUUAAAUGGUGUACGGCAUGGCACUUCACGAGUAUGAAUAUUAGUAGGCCUUGCUCGGCACGGCACGAAAAAUUGAACUGGGCCGGAUUAAAAAAUAGGUCCAAUGAAUCAUGCCAGGCUUGGUCCGAGCCCGCUUCAAGCACGGCACGAGCCUGAGCCCACUUCAAACAUGGCUGAAGCCUGGCUCACUUUAUAAGUAGAUGAUGAACCACCAAACUUUUCAACGAACCUCCCAUGCCGCAUAGCUAUGGCAUGAAUGGUGAAGUUUUCCUUCUCUUUCCACUCAAGAAUGCAUUAUUUAUGCAACCGGUGUGAAAUAUCUGAGUAGCCAUCAAUACUUUAAUCUGUUUCUUUUUCAUAGAUUUGAACAUUGGUAUAGCGACUUCUACUUCGUUUUUGGGCAAAAAUUAUACGAAAAACUAUGUUACAAUUUUCAAGCCAAUUGAACCUUUUGUUGUUAUGAUUACAUUGUUUAAAGUAUUAAAUUCCAAAACUCUGAUAUGAUAGCAGAUGAAAUUCUGGUAUCUACUGUGUGUUCCUCGCAUGAAGACAACAUUCAGGCAAGCCUUCUAGCAUCCAUGCACAGCACCAUAAAACAGAUAAAUCUAAAAGGCUAAUUGUAACUUAGCAAUUUUGUCGAAAUUGUUAAUACAACCAAAUCCAUGUUGUCAGCAAGCAGGCUACACCUAACACCAGUAAACUAACAUUAUAAAUGACAUUAAAAUUAAUCAAUCCGGAAAAACAAAGUCAAUUGCCAUUUCUAUUGCAUAUGAGAUUUGACCCGUUCCACAUUUUUAUACCUUCUUAUUCAACAUCUGCCGUGGACUAAAGACAGUCUGGUAUUGUUCAAAAUCUGCAUGGAAUGACCAAUAAUGAGGAAGAAAAUUGAUCAAGUUGUUUGGUGGUACAAGUAUCUGUCAAUAAUAUAGUCUUGAAAGGUUUGGUUUUGACAACUAAGACAGACAUUGUUAGUAGCCCCAUUUUCAUCCCAGACAAGUCUCUUCCUACAAUCUGAUAGGCUAAUUUUCUAUAGCAAUGACCUUUUCAAUCGAAAACUGUCGUGUAAAUAACAUCUAAUUAGUGUAAGUUGGAUUGGAUGAUGGCUAGCUACAGGGGAGACAGAGUAUUUUGGAAUCAAAUGCUCAUCCAAAUAUUUAGCAUUACAGUGAUUCAGCAGAGUUGCUCUACUUCUAGCAGCUGUGAAGAUCAUGUUGUGUACAUAUUUACAUAACAGAAAAUCUUAAACGAGCCAAUACGACACGGCCCGAUAAAUUAAAUGAACUGACACAGCACGGCACUAAUACCUUAAAGACACGAAUUUAAAUGAGCCGGGCAGGGUGACACCUCUAGCUAACAUUCUUCUAAAAUCAAAAUGAUCAAGAGUUUUGUGUAGCGGUUCCAAUCCAAGAUAGUUUCCCACAGCUUCUUUGUUUGUCUAUUUUGCCCACGGUUUUGAUUGGUCAAAAAUUGUAAAAGUAAAGUCUUCAUCAGUCCUUCCAGAACGUUGACCCAAAACUUCCUCCCCACUCAAACGUCUCAUCGUCAUUCCUUUCCAGCUUUGUCUCAUUUUCAGACACCAUAAAACCCGACAAAUCCCACAAACCCCUCCACUCUCUGCAACAAACAAACCGCCAUAAACCCACAACUCACUGAACUCAAUUCAUCACCAUGCACAAAAGCACUUCAGGCUCACUAGGCCCCAGCGGCCUUGACCUAACCCAGGCCUUCUUCAAGCCCAUCUCCGGCGCCGCCUCACCCUCCUCCACCAAGCGCCACACCAAGAUCUCCGUCAUCGGCGCCGGCAACGUGGGAAUGGCCAUCGCUCAGACCAUCCUCACCCAGGACCUCGCCGACGAGCUUGUCCUCGUCGACGCCAAGCCCGAGAAGCUCCGCGGUGAGAUGCUCGACCUCCAGCACGCCGCCGCCUUCCUCCCCCGCACCAAGAUCAUCGCCGACGUCGACUACGCCGUCACCCACGGAUCCGACCUCUGCAUCGUCACCGCUGGGGCCCGCCAGAUCCUCGGCGAGUCCAGGCUCAACCUGCUCCACCGGAACGUCGCCCUCUUCCGCAAUGUCAUCCCGCCGCUCGCCAAGUACUCGCCGGACACGAUCCUACUGAUCGUGUCGAAUCCGGUCGACAUCUUGACCUACGUGGCCUGGAAGCUGUCCGGGUUCCCCAGCAGUCGGGUUGUCGGGUCAGGUACCAAUCUGGACUCUUCGCGGUUUCGAUUCCUCAUUGCUGAUCAUCUUGAUGUCAACGCUCAGGAUGUGCAGGUGGGUUUCUUUUUUUUACUUCUUCAUGACAUUGCAAAUGCUUGUUUAUAUAUUUGAAGUAGUUUUGAUAUGAAAUUUCUCAGAUGUUUUUUUGGUUUAUAACUAUCAAUUUUGGAUAAAACAUGGUUCUGUUUUUUCGUUUAUUUUUUCAUUUAGUAUAAUAUUACUAGAGAAUCUAGAAUCACUCUCAAACGAGCCUUUAAUUAGAUUAGACAACUUAGUAAACAAAAGAAAAGACAUAAAGUUAAACAACAAUCGCAUAACAAAUAGGAAAAGAGCGAAAUAGUAUCCAAUCAAUAACACAAGAUAACAAGUUAUAUUUUCUCGCCUAUUUACUACGGCAAAGAAUCAAAUUAUCACUAUAUUUAUUCUUUUUUUUUACUUCAUAUAAUUUCCCUUGAUAUUGAUAGUUUAGCGUUAUUCUGUAUUCUCACACCCUCAUAUUUUGGUAACACUGAUAAUGGAGACAAACAAUUUGUUUUUUGUGUGUAGAUAUUAGUCCAAAUUUUCAUGUAAUUUCUUGGGUAGUUGAUAUUUUAAUUGAAAUUUCUGUAUUUUAAGACCAUCCAUAUUGAUGUUUUAGUAGAUAAAACCCCAGAUUUUAAUGUAAUUUCUGAGCUAUGAUCAUAUCUUGUUUGAUAUUUCUAUAUUAAAGUGAUUUCUGUAUUUUUCUUAUGGAAUUAUGGGAUUGUAGGCUUACAUUGUUGGGGAGCAUGGUGACAGCUCAGUGGCAUUGUGGUCGAGCAUUAGCGUAGGGGGAGUGCCGGUGUUGAGUUUCUUAGAUAAGCAAGAAAUAGCUUACGAGAAAGAGACGUUAGAGAGCAUCCACAAGGUGGUUAUAGACAGUGCAUAUGAGGUGAUCAGUCUAAAAGGAUAUACUUCUUGGGCAAUUGGAUACUCCGUGGCCGCGCUAGCUUGGAGCAUAUUGAGAGAUCAGAGGAAGAUCCACCCGGUCUCGGUGCUUGCCAAGGGGUUUUACGGGGUCGACGGUGGAGAUGUGUUCUUGAGCUUGCCGGCCCAGCUCGGGAGAGGUGGGGUUUUGGGGGUGACCAAUGUGCACUUGACUGAUGAGGAGACUCAGAGGCUGAGGGACUCGGCUAACACCAUCUUGGAGCAGCAGUCUCAGUUGGGAUUAUGAAUUCGAUCACCAAGAACAUGGUGGGAUUGAUAUCCCAUCAAUCUUAGUUCCCACUUCUCUGCUUCAGUUUGUUCUUUUCGAAGGCAACAAUUGUCCAGUUUUUGGCUUCAACUAACAGAUGGUAUCUUCACGUUGUAAUGCGGUUUUGGCUUCUUACUGUGGCCUUCUGUUUUAUUUCUCAUGUAAUAAAUAUUAAAUCAUGAAGUUGGAUUAUAUGUCUUUUAAGACUAGUUUUAUAUAUGAAUUGAAACUACCUUUGAACAGAACUAAGAUUAUAUGUCUUAAGAGAGAAAUAUUUUUGCUCACCACUCUUCUCAACACUUGACACAUGUUCAUAAGCUUAACGAUAAUUAGCUAUUUGUUUUGUAUUUAUGGAAUCAUGGUUGCAUUCAUGGGCAUGUGUUUAGUGUUGAGAAAGGUGAUAAUGAUACAUAUUGGGUUAAAGUGGUGAGUAAAAAUAAGCUGGCCAAUAAUUUAGGAAAUGUAAAAUAUCAAAUUAAGUUUGUAUCAAAUUUAAAGGAUACGGAAAAACUAGUUCGAUUGAGCAUCUCCAAAGGAAGAGGCAAAUGAAAUAGGCAAAAUUGUACUAUAACAACCUAGGUGGUAUGUUGCCUAUUCAUUUGCCUCAUGAAAAAAGUUGAUCACUCAAAAUAUCAAAUUAAGUUUGUAUCAAAUUUAAAGGAUACGGAAAAACUAGUUCGAUUGAGCAUCUCCAAAGGAAGAGGCAAAUGAAAUAGGCAAAAUUGUACUAUAACAACCUAGGUGGCAUGUUGCCUAUUCAUUUGCCUCAUGAAAAAAGUUGAUCACUCAAAGGGACUAGAUAAUACAAGUCUACAAACUAUUAUUAUAUUAUUUAUUUCUAUCUUUUCAUAUGCUAUUAUAUUUUAUAGAAAGUAAGUGAGAGAGUGAAGAUGAUAUCUUAUUAUAAAAAUCAAGUGGGAUUCACUAUACCUUUUCACUUUGAAGUAGGCAAUAUUGCCUUGUUGGGGAGAGUAGGUAUAUUUUGCCUACCUAUUUGCCUCAUGAAAAUGCUGAUAUGACAAGGCAAAUGAGUUUUGCCUACUCUUUUGCCUCUUUCCUUGGAGAUGCUCACCAAAACUUUUUCCUUCACAUGUAUUCGAGUUUCUGGUGAGACAUUUCUGGCAUUUGGCACAGAGAAAUGGCUUAUGAUCCAAAAAUGAAGUUUGGAUAUCCUCUGCCUCUCUGUCCUGAUUAAUGGAUUUCUCUUUGGCCAUGGAUCAGGUUGAUCACUAGAAUGGUUUUUCGGUUGGUUGGUUUGUUUUUUGCUGAAAACUUGUGCCGGUCCAGCCAAAAAAGAAAAAAAGAAAAAAAGAGAGAAGGUGGGCUGGUUGUUUCCUUGUUCUAAAUGGGCUUUACCAAAGUGAGGCUUUUAAUUCUUCUUAACAUAAACCACUAAACUUAAAAACUUUAGCCCGUAUUAAACUCUCGUGAACCAAUCACAAUCUCUACGUAAGUUCAUUAAGAAUUAAUCAAUGGGCCAUGUAAUUUGGCACAAUUAUUUUAACGGCCCAAAAAAAAAAACAAUUUUCGUUUUGAAUACAAGUGAUAGUUUAAAUUAUAAAGGGAAAAUAAUUUCUCAUACAUACUACUAAGGUGUCAUGGAGGUUCGAACUUGAGACCACUAAUAUGCAAGUCAAGACCCUUUUUCAUUGAGCUCGACGCCUUUGACAAAGAAGACAAUUUUAUGAAGAGAUUAGACGAAAGUACAUUGGUCUUCUUUUGUUUGGUCUUCAAGCAUGGCAUCUUCGUCUUUUGCCAAAGACAAAAUUGAAAUGACAUAUCUAGCUAGCUAGCUAGCAAGCUCUAUCACGAGAAAACGUAUUGGCUUAUUUCAUUGUGAGAGGUUGUCUAUGUGACAAAGAUAAAAAUCAGAAACUGUUCGAAUUGUUCCUUGUGUAGUCAGUGAAGAUUAGAAUAUGGACACCUGAGGUUGCUUCCCCAUUUGAGGUAUCCGGUCAUUUACAAGAUGUUUACAUCUCUACAUUUUGUGCUUAUUUAGAAGUGUUUUUAUAAGUAAAAACAACUUUUAUAUAAUCAAAAGCGAUUUUUUAAAGAAAAAGUUAAAAGUGCCUUUCAAUUCUAAAAAUAUUUCUGAUUGCUUUUGAAGACGUGUUUCUAAGUGUUUAAUUUUUUACUGUGCUUCCUACAAAAGUAGUUCAAAACGGACCCUUAAUUACUUUAAAAAGAUGUGUGUCAUCACCACCUUAUCUUUGGCCAAAAAUCGAUCCAAUUAGGAAACAUACAAAACAAGAAAAUCAAUGAUCACCCAAAUCAACUGCAACCUUUAAAUUAUAUGUUGAUGAUAGAAUUAGAGUAUCCAACAUAAAAUCAAUUAACACUAGGUGGAGAGCCUUAAUUAAGAUCUAUAAUCUUACAUAUUCAUGUGGUGUAAGGCUUUACUUUCUCUGGUAUAAGAUAAUACUCUCAACAUUUCAACUCCAAAAUUCUUAAAUUCAUUUUGAAUUAAUGUUUAUACUCAUUAAUUAGGUUACAUUGGAAGAAGUUUGGAACCUAUAUGGUCUAUAUAUAUAUGCAUAAAACAUGCACAAUAUUUACAUAUACUUGCAUGUUCCAAACUUCCACCGUCAGUUUUGUUAAUUUGUGUUGCACUGUUUCGUCCAUGUAUCACUGUUUCAGUGCGUACAUACAUACGCCACUGCUUCAGUGCUUCUAGGCCUUUUCCAAAACUGUGAAUACGCAUGUGACGCGUACUCAGGCAUCUCUCUCUCUCUCUCUCUCUCUCCAGUGGAUGUUAUUAUUCAGAAGUGAUUAAAAAUUAACGAGGGAGCUUAAUUAUUAGAAAGUUGGUUUUAGCUGUAUUAUUAGACAUUUCGUAUUCUAUAGAUUAUUUGAUUAACAAAUUGGUGUUUUCAGAACAUGGCAUGUAUAAAAUUUCAGUGAUCCUGAUCACUUCAGUGAUCUAAUCACAGAGGUCACGGACGGGAAUAAUCCGACUAGAAAGAGUCAAAUUGGACAACUUAACAAUUCUAUAUAUUAUAUAAGACAUGUACGUACAGAUGCCACCAUACUUGAUAUAGUUUGAUAAUUACCAAUCAGUGCUUCCUCUUUGUCAUGUAUUCGUCAAGAUGCAUAACCACCACCACCACUACUAUUACCAUUUGAGGAGGUUAUCUGUAGGGUCAAAUGAAUCCAAAGGGGUCUUUUCUCUGAAUAAUAUUUGUGCAGUAUACUGGGUUUGUGUGGUACAACGAAUCUACAUGUUAUGACAUGAGUGAACGAUAUGAUAUAAUCAUAUUACAUAACAAAUGUACUUGUUAUACCAAGUGACAUGAGUGAACGAUAUGAUAUAAUCCUAGCUCAUUUUAUUAUCCUCUCACUGGCAUCGGCAAGUUGAGGACAAGUUCUGUAAUGACAUGACAUAUUUGAAUGCAGUUGCUCAAAAAUUAUUCUUGGAUAACUAUACAAACCCGCAAUGUAUUCUAACAUUCCAAAAUUGUGUGAAUAUAGAGCAAUAUGACCCCCUAAAUAAAAAUCCAGUUCAUUUUCAAGCUAAAACACAAGAAGAGUAGCAGAGGAUGACAUGUCGUACGGUUGAUUUGGACGUCUCCAGCAUUAUCAACUUGCAAAACAUGUAAAUAACAAUCAGCAUAUAUUAUAUAUAUGAAUGAAAUGGCCGCAAUGCAUGACCAAUUACUUCAAGUAAAUAUCAUUUUACUCUGCUAUUGCUGAAUAUUAUUAGAACAUUGUUUCGUAGGGGACAAGAAUUAAGCAGACCUGGCUUUUAUAACUAAACACACACAAAAAUCCAAACUCCAUAAUCCCAAAAGCUUAUCCCGCCAUGUUGCUUUGCCAGGUUGUAUACCCUAGGCAUCAUUUCCAAUCCAAUGUGCCCAUAUGGGUCAUUCUAAUUAUUUUAAUCCCCACCCUACAUCACUCUCCAUCUAUAAAAGCCCUAGCUAGCUACCAAUCUCAAACACAUCACAUCUCUCAACUUAUAAAUCCUCCAAAAGCUAAGAGCCAAUCAAUUUCCCAAAUGGCUUCCAAGGCUCUAGCUUCCACUGCUCUCCUCCUCUCCCUUAACCUCCUCUUCUUCACUUUGGUCACCUCCACCAAUGUUGCUUGCCCACCACCUCAGAAAAAGGGUCAUAAACACCAGCCCAAGCAUGCAAGUCCUGCACUACCCAACCCUAACCCCUCUAAGCCUGCCACGUGCCCCAAAGACACAUUGAAAUUGGGGGCAUGUGCUGACUUGUUGAAUGGUUUGGUGCACCUUGUUGUUGGUCCACCAAAGUUCCCUUGCUGCAGCCUCAUUGAGGGCCUUGUUGAUCUUGAUGCUGCUGUGUGCCUUUGCACUGCAAUCAAAGCUAAUGUCUUGGGGAUCCACUUAAACAUCCCCGUUUCACUCAGCCUGCUCUUGAACUACUGCGGGAAGCAGGUCCCAAGUGGCUACGAGUGUGCUUAAAUUUGAAGUACUAUUUAUCCGUACUGCUCUCAAUUUUUAGCACUUGGGUUUUCAUUAAUUUCCUUCGUUUCUCAUUUUCAUCAUGGUGUGCCUAAGAGCUUUGUUGGGAUGUUUAUUGGUAUAUUCCAUUAUACAUUCUUAUUAUUAAUAAUUCUUUCUAUAUUGUAUUGAUGGAUGGAUGGAUGGAUGGUAGGCUACUUGCCUUCUUCCACAUCCUCUAUAGCAACUGUAUUUUAGUGAAAAUAUUAUUGAUUGAGCUGAAAUAAUGAAUUUGUGAUGUUUCAGAAAGUAAUUGAAUUUGAGUUCCUUAUUGCAAUGUUUGUUCUACUACUACAAUUUUAUUUUCUGGGUAUAUGCACUACUGCUAAUUAGUACUCCUGUCUCCUAUGCAUUGUGAGGAACAUGAAAUCUCUUAUUCAUUGGGUCCAAAAUAAUAGUUGGAAGCGAAAAAAUUGAUUGUGAUUUUUCUAAGAAUUGUUAAUUGUUAAAGAGCAUCCGUAUGUCGAAAGAUGGAACCUUAACACAAGAGCUUAAAAGAUCUUUGGUCUACCAACGGGGUCUAGCUCAAUGAAAAAAGACAUCGACUUGCAGACUAGUAGUCUUAAGUUCGAACUUCCAUGACACUUUAUUAGUGUGUAUGUGAGAAACCCUCUCCACCUUAUAAUUUAGACUAUCACUUAUAUUUAAAAAGAUCUUGAACCUCUCUAGCCAUUGCAAAUUAAUUUUGAGAGAUUUUUUUUAUCAAGACAUGUUAAACUAAUCAACACAUGCUUUUUGUUGACCUUAUUCUUCCUGGUCGUACAUACGAAGAAUUAUAGCAUCAUUGAUUCAUCGCACAUUUCACUUGUGUAAGUGGCUAGAUAUAAGCAUAACUUUGAAGUUAAUUAUUAUAUUCAUAUUAACAAGCGUUUAUGAUCCAUGUUGAGCUUGUGUGGAACUACUUCUGGAGAAGUGCAUUCAAGAAUCACUUUCGAAUGCUUUUUCAAAAAGCAAUUUGAUUUUUAAUAAAAACUUUGACGUUCUUCUAAUAAUAGAAGCACUUUAGAAAAAAGUGUUUAUGGGCAAAUUUUCCUGUAAAAAGAAGUCACAAACGGGUUACGGGUUACGGGUCCGUUCGUUAUUAGAGAUCCAAUUUUCUAGAUAAUUUCAGACUGUGAAGUUAGAGAGACCGAGAAUGAAUUUUGAAGUUAAUCAUGUUAAUAUUACUAAGAUACAUGAACAAAGGUGGCGGUGGCCCAGAGUUUGUAGAUCCAACUGGCCAGAUAAAUCAUGUAUAUGCUAGCCUGUCAAUCGUAAAUUCGAACUGAAAGUUAGCUAUUUAAUCAAUAAUUAAUAUAUGUGUUAACAUCAUUUUACCCUCUCAAAAUUUAGGAUCAUUCUUCAAAUGAACCACCCAGUUUUAAUUUUGUCAAUUUACGCCUAACUAUUUAAAAUUCGAUUAAUUUACACGUUCCGUCAAUUUGACCGUUUAGUCUUCUGUUAAGUGAUGAUCCACCUUUUUAGCUCAAGUAUAAUAAAAUAUGUAAUAAGUAAUAUUAAAAAAAUUCUUUAUUUUAAAGUUAAGUAAAAUCAAUUAUUUAAAACAACAACAAAAACAUAAUUAAAAAACCCAACACUAUGACCAAACUCCCAGGCCAUUACCAACCAACUCCAAACCCAGCAUCUCCACUACCCCAUCCUUCUUCUUCCUCAUUUUUCUUUUCUUCCACAUCCCCACCUUCAUUCCCAACACCCAUUUCUCCUUCAGAUGCCUACGCUCAUCUCCUUCCUUUAGAGGGGGGAGAUUGGGGGGUAGGGAUGGUUUCAGAUCUGGGGUGCGAUGGGUUGGGGAAGGAGGAGAGUGGGUUGUUUGUAGGCGGUGGUUGUGAGGUAGUCUGGGUUGUUUGUAGGCGAUGAUUCUAAGGUGGUUUGGGUUGAAAGAGGAGAGGGUUUGGUGACGAGGUUUGAUUGGAAUGUUGUUUUUUUUUUUUUUUUGGUUUUAAAUAAUUGAUUUUAAUAUUUUUAAUUAACUUAAAUAGUAAAAAAAUUAAAUUAUGCUAACGACAAAAGACACCCUGCUGGUUUAGGGUCAUUAUCGAAUUGGACCCCACCAUAUCAAUUUUAUCAAUUUACGCCCUGACGUUUUGAACAUCGUCCAAUUUCAUCCUUCCGUUAAGUUGACUAGAUGGUUAAUCGUUAACUGUUGACGUGGCACCCGUGGGACCCACCCCAUCAACGAUUUGACCAUUCAUGUCAUGCCAUAUGAAGGACAGUCUUGGGUUUCUACAAUUUUUUUUAUAAAAAAAAAAAAAAAGAACAUCGCCCCUAAAAUUGGGCACGCUUUGCAAGAAGACGACUAAAGUAAAAGCCUCAAACCGUUGUUCGUCCUCAACCUCAAUGUAACCUAAAUCCUAAAUCUCCAUAGUUGACAGCAAGUUCUAUGAUUUCGAAGAAGUGAGAAGAAAUGAGUUGGGAUUUCAGGGUUUCAGGCGCUCCACAUCCAUCGUACGGUAAGUUGGUUUAAAUUUUUACAAUUUGGGAUAUUUGUGUUGAAUGGGUUAGAGGUCGUAAGGGUUAUUCUGGUUUGAAUGUUGAGUUUUAUAGGGUUUAGUGGAAUAGUUGGAGAAGUAUGAAAGAUUUUGUCGAAUAUAGGUGGCCUUAUUACAGAUUUCAAAUAUAGGUGGUCCUUCAAGCUAAGCAUGUGUGUUGGCAAUGUCUGCCUUUAAUACUCUAAGCUUCUGCUUUUAAUAAUGCAAAAGUGUUAGGUGGAAGGGUGUGAAAAAGGUUGUUUAAUAAAAAUUUGGACUUUUGUAUAAUGGUCCUAAACAGAAAAUAAUUGAAAAGUCAGUUAUGGUUUUUGUGUAAAGUUUGAAUACUGUGUUUUGUGUUGUGUUUUAUGUUUGAACUGAAAAUAACCCAUUUUUGGGACAUGUAAUAUGUAGGUGAUCCUGAAUUGUUUUCUAUUCGAAUGUACCAUGGUGGUUAAAUCUGUGGUAACAGUUAUGCUUCUGGCAGUGUAGCUUGGUUUGAUUAUUGUGACAAUGAUAGAAUGUCAAUGACUGAGAUAGACAAUAUAGUGAGGGAGUUAGGCUAUGAUGAGGUGAUUAGUUACUAGUAUAGUAUCCCUAUAUAUAGCAAUGGUGGCCUAUAGCAAAGCUUAAUGAUGAUCAAGAUGUCAUAGACAUGCUUGUAUUUGUACCAGAGACAAGGCUAAUAGGCAUCUCUUCCUACAUCAUGGGGUUGAUAAUAAUGAGCAUUGGUUUUAUAGUCAAUCAGGAUCAAAUAUGUUUGUUGAUGUAGAAGCUGAUAUUGUGCCUAACGGAGGAGUUGUGAUUGAGGAGCUUGAUGACAAUUAUGGGGCUAUUGUUCUUGUUGGUGGGAAAUGCAAACAAUGGAGGCAACAAAAAAGAAAAAAACAAGUGUGGUGAUAGAAGAGCUCAAUGAAGACCCAAAUGGGGAACAAAGUGGUGGGGGUUACGCAAAAGCUAAGGGAAUCUUGUGCAGGACAUGGUGUUUCUGAAAAAGGCAAAGAAAAGGCAGUAGAGAGAGAAUCUUCUGCUGUGCAAAAAGACAAAGAAAGAGCUGUUGAGAGGGAAUCUCCUGCCACUGUAGACAAAGGGAAAAGUAAAGUCAAUUAUGUUUUUGGAAAAAGGAGGGCGAGAGCUUUUGGUAAAAGGAGGUGCAAAAAUGUAAAAAAGACACGUAAUAAAGAAGACCAAAGGUCCAAUACAGUGACUGAGGGACUAGUUCAGAAAGAGGUUGUUGAAGGAAGUGUAGAAAAGAGCAACUUAUCAGGAUGUCAUCCAAUGAAGACAAGAAAAGCAAGAACAAGGACCACAGUCUGUCAUGAUGAGAAGGAGUUAGUAGACAGUCUUGACUCUGAUUUUGCAGACCCUAACUUCAGUUGUGAUGAUAAUGAUGAUGAUGUCGAUUUUGAUGAAUGGGUGGACAAACAAACUGAGUGGGUUGGAGAUGGGGCAAAAGGAAAAGAGCCAGAGUCAACAAAUGUUGGGGUUGAAUCUUAGGAUUGGGGUGCAGAUGUUGAACUGGAUUCAGAAGAGUAUGAUUAUGAUAAUGUGCAGCCUCAAUAUGACUCUGAAGAUGACACUCCAAUGACGGAUAUAUGGCCAGAGUUCAAUCCGGCAACUAACAUGGCAGAUCCAGAGUUUGAGGUUGGGAUGAAGUUUAGCGAUUGUAAAGUUUUUAGAGCGGUUGUGAGAGAACAAUUUAUAAAGAGGAAUAGGGAUGUCGUAUUUGUGAGAAGUGAUGCUUUAAAGCUAAAGGCAGUUUGUAGCCUAUGAGAGAUAUAUGUUUCCAAAAUGCAACAUGAGAAGACCCUGCAGCUUAAGAAAUAUGAGGGUUAACACACUUGUGGUAUUGUUUGGGAGAACCCUACUGUGAAGUCUAGUUGGCUGAGUGCCAAAUAUAUGGAAAUAUUGAAGAGCAAUCCAAGUUGGCCAGUUAGCUUAUUCAUGGAGACUGUGGAGAAAGAUUAUAACACUGGAGUUUCUAGGCAACAAGUUUAUAGGGCAAAAGAGAAGGUAUUAAGGCAGAUUGAGGGAAUAUACACAGAGCAAUACUCCAGAAUUUGGGAUUAUUGUGAAAAGUUAAGGAAGACCAAUCCAGGAACAACAACAGAAGUUCAAUGUGAUUUCAAUGAACAAUUGGGUCAUCCAGUGUUUCAAAGGUUAUAUGUGUGCCUAGGUGCAUGUAAAGCAGGGUUCAUUGCUAGAUGCAGACCCAUUAUUGGAUUGGAUGACUGCUUCUUGAAGGGUGUAUAUGGAGGGCAAUUUUUAGCAGCAGUUGGUAUAGAUGCUAAUAAUGAAACAUGGGUGAUUGCAUAUGCAGUGGUUGAGUCUAAGUGCAAGGAGUCAUGGGUUUGGUUUCUGGAAUUGCUGGUAAAGGAUAUAGAGAUUGUUAACCAGUUUGGAUACACUUUCAUAUCAAACAAGCAAAAAGGAUUAUUACCAGUUUUGAGCAAGUUGUUCCUAAUAGUGAACACAGGUUUUGUGCAAGACAUCUGUUCACCAACUUCAUAUUACAAUUCAAAGGGAAAACUUUGUUUGACAAAUUCUGGGGUGCUGCAAAAGCAACAACUGUUCCACAGUUUGCAAGACAGAUGGAAAAGCUGAAAAACCUUGAUAUGGAUACUUAUGCUUGGCUGACUGAACCAAGAAAACCUCCCAGGAAUUUGUCUCGAUCACACUUCAGCACUCAUGUGAAGUGUGAUAUGCUUUUAAACAAUAUGUGUGAGUUCUUCAACUCAUUCAUAUUGGCAUGCAGAGAUAAGCCAAUACUGACCAUGCUUGAGAUAGUUAGGUGUAAGUUGAUGAGGAGGAGACAAGGCAGAAGGGACAAAAUGAAGAAUUAGACAAAGGAAAUUUGCCCCAAGUGAGAUUAAUAAAGCAAAAGAGGUGGUUGUGUGACUAUGUGGUCAGGUGGAGGAAAAUUUCAAGUUGGCAGUGGUGGGAUUUCACAAUAUAUUGUGGACUUGGAUUUAAGGAACUGUUUUUGCAGAGAAUGAGAUUUGACUGGUUGGCCUUGUGUUCAUGGAGUGGUAGCUAUAAAUUACAAUGGGGGCUUAAACGUAAUGGAUUAUGUGGAUGCAUUUUAUCACACUCAGACAUAUUUCAAGGCAUAUGAAAACCUCAUACUACCUAUGAAUAGGAUGGAGUUGUGGGAUAGAACUAAUAUGCCACCAUGUGUGCCUCCUUCAUACUCCAAACAACCUAGAAGGCCAAGAAAUGCUAGAAGGAAGGAAACAGGUGAAUGCAGCAACAAGGCCAAUAUUGUUACAAAAGUUCAAGACUCACUGAGGUGUGGCCAAUGUGGAAGAAAAGGCCACAAUAAAAGGACUUGUCAUAGGAAUCUCCCCCCAAAAACAAAAGUCAAAAAGAGGAAGGCUGAGGUAAACAUCUAAGAAUGAACUUUUGUUAAUGUUAUAAAUGUUAAUGUUUUUGGAAUAUGAUGCAACUAACAGGUUUGAUUUGUUGUCUCAUCCCAGCAAACUACUCAAACAAGUGAAGCUGGUCCCAAUACAAAAACAAGGCGAGCUAAGCCUACAAGAUCUGUGCAUAAAGGAAAAAGAAAGAGAAAGGCCACCAAUGCAGCUGGAAGUUCAAAUGCACCACCAACUGAUUCAGCUGCUCCAUCCUCAACACCUACAACUGGAUCUGCCUCUCUUGCAACUGGAUCUGCCUCUCAUGCAUCAACUGAAGCUUCAACUGACAAUUCUUAUUUAUUGAGGAAACGACCUAUGGUUGUGGGAGCAUUAGACUUGAGCAAGGAAUGAUGAUGGUUUGUGUUGUAUUAGCCGGUUUGGUUAUUUUGAGCAUGAGACAGUUUUACCUUUAUUAGCUGGUUGGAUUAGGUUAUUAUAUUAUUAUGUUAUUUUGGAAGACAACUUGCCUUGUGAUCAAAUAUGUAAGACAGGUUCUGUUUUUUUUUUUUUUUUUUUUUUGGGAAUACAGGUUCUGCUAUUUUGGAAGGUUGUAAAUGUUGUUCUGUGGCUUAUUUUGUUGUAAUGCUACAAGUGGAUAUGUUAUUAGGUAGCCUAUUUUGUUGUAAUGCUGCGAGUGAAAAUCAAUUUGCUCAUAUGUUGUACACACAAGUUAUUGGAAUGAACAUGUCAUUGCAUUACCAAAAUUUCACACUGUAUGCAGAUUACAUAGCCAUUCCCAUUACAUAACAAAAAUGCAAAAUGUUCAUUCCCAUUACAUAACCAAAACCACACUGCUUUCCAUACCAAAGACACAGUGCAGAUCUAACUAAAUGCAUAGUACUUCCCAUACCAAAGCACAGUGCAUCCCUAAAACACCCAAUUUCAUGCCAAUUCCAAAGUUUUCAGCUUCAAUCCAUCUGAUCCACUAUUCCGUCCAAAGACGGACAUUGCAUUAAGCAUCCACGAUACCACCAAUGCUGCCCAAAGAACCUUUUCUCUGUGUCUAGUCUUUAUUAGUGAAUUCUCCAACUUAUCUCGCGAUUUUAGCAACCCCGGAAUCACAACUUUAGACCUUUCACACAUUUCCACAUCAUACCAAACCCAGAAAUCACAACCUCCUCUACUUUGCACAAAACCCACUCUGUAAAUUAACAUUUGCACCUGCUGCAAUUCAAAUUCUAAUAUUUUGCACCAAAUCCAGUUUUUUAUCUUUGUACACACAGCGAAUUGCCUUCCAGGAUUCGAAAUUGUCCACGAAGUUCGGAUUCUUGCAUUCUUACCACACCAACACACCAUCGCCUGAUGCUCCAUUUCUCCUUUGUUUUCUGGGUUAAGGAUCCAAUACAAUCGGGCGGCUCACUUCUUAGAAAUCGUAUAUCUAAGCCCUCAGCUAUGGAAAUUUAAGAUUUAUGUUGGGUUUAUGACAACUUUGGGGCUUUCUCUUCGAUCUCCAGUUGAGGUUGAGGACGAACGACAGUUUGAGGCUUUUACUUCAGUCGUUUUCUUGCAAAGUGUGCCCAAUUUUGGGCUCGAUGUUACAUUUUUUAUUUUAUUUUUUAUAAAUUGUAGAAACCCAAAACUGCCCUUCAUAUGGCAUGAGAUGAAUGGUCAAAUCGCCGGUGGGGUGGGUCCCACGGGUGCCACGUCAGCAAUUAACGAUUGACCGUCUGGUCAACUUAACAGAAGGAUGAAAUUGGACGAUGUUCAAAACGUCGGGUGUAAAUUGAUAAAAUUAAUACUGUGGGGGUCCAAUUCGAGAAUGACCCUAAACCAGCAGGGUGUCUUUUGUCAUUAGCCCAAUUAUUUUUUAUAUAUUUUAUUACACCUAAGCUAAAAAGGUGGACCUCAUGUUUGCCACAUCAUCACUUAACAGAAGACCUAGCGGUCAAAUUGACGGUAUGUGUAAAUUGGUCGAAUUUUAAAAUAUUAGGACGUAAAUUGACAAAAUUAAAACUACGUGGCCCAUUUUAAAAAUAACCCUAAAUCUUAAAGGGGUAAGAUGAUGUUAGCCUUUAAUAUAUCAACAAAAUGAGAACAUAAUUAAGCUACUAAAAAUUUUCUACAAAGAAAUUUAAAGCUAAAUACAUUGCAAAUCAUUUUUUUUUUUUUGGACAACCAUUGCAAAUCAAUGGUGAGGACAAUUCUUAAUUAAUUUAAUUAAAUUUAUAUUUCUUUUAAAUCCUAUGUUCCAGGUGACAGAAAACAAGUUCCAACAGUCCAACUUGGCCAAAUGGGUCAAGUCCAACUUGUAGCUCCUUGUUUCCUGUAAAGAUCAACAACCUAUGGAUUCAUCAUUAGCGCGCUAAAGAUCCAACGCCUUUCUAACGAGUCAGCAAAACGACAACUUGAUUUUAACCCUUGACUAAAAUUUUGUAAUUUUACAGGAAUUAUUUGACUUUCUUUUUUGUUUUUGUCAAAAAAGUCAUUUCCAUCUUAAAUAAAUAUGGUAACGGCAAAAAUAUAAUAUUAUUGUCGCCAAUGACGACUAUUAUUAGGGUAAAUUCAAAAAAAAUUGAUCUAUGAAUAAAUACUUGAAAAAUAAAAAUUUUGAAUCGUUGAAAAAAAAAAUCAUAGAUCCUAAAAGAUAUCCCACCUCUCUCACCUUCGAUAGAAAAAGACUGAUUAUAUAUAUGCGCUACUAUAAUUAAUGUGUUAGACUAGUGUAGGAUAACUUCUCCCAAUAAUGUGAUCUUAACUAUGUUAUUAUACGAAUUUCAGCACCAAAUUUCUAAUCCAAGAUACUGAUAUUGUAAAUGUGUCGGCGGAUAUGUAGCGAUAUUUUUUCUCAUCCUAUCAGUUACAAUUUUUUUUCUUUUGGUUUGGUAAAUAGGAAGAUCACAUGUUCGCAUCGUGGAAUGUACCCAAAAUAAUUGCACUUUCUUUCUGUACCGCAAACCCUAAAGCUAGCUCUACCUUUUUUUUUGUGCAAAAUAACUUUCCUCCAUAACCCGCCAACGAAAGAAAAUAGGGAAUGGACCAAACAUGAUUUCUCUUGUCUGUGCAAAAUCUAUAAUCUCUGUGAAACCGAAUUACAAGCUGGUGGGUUCUGAAAUCCAACACAUGCAUAUUCACGGAUUGCACUUCUGUCAACUAGUCACGGAUUGUUUAUUGAAGUUUGCACACCUCCAACAACAAUCCAAACUCUGCAUUUUAUUUUCACUUGGAAUCUCCACAGCUCUCAUGUUUUUUUACCACAGCUUCUUGUUGUUCUUCCACGUUUAAAUAUAGUCCUUGUUUUCCCUUCCAUUUGUCACACACAAAACUCACGGAUUGCUCAUAAAAUUCACCUAUAUAUAAUCCUUUGGAUCGUCAAACCCAUCAAAACCCAGAAGUUUUAAAGUAUAACUAGUAGCUAGUGAUCUUGUAAAAUCAUGGGUUCCAAGGUUACUGCCAUGUUCUUCAUCUCUUUGAUUUGCACGGUUUUCGCAUUGCCUCCAAUUCAAGCUUGUACACCUUGUACUCAGCCACACCCAUCAAAACCACACCCUCCACAUCAUCCAUCACAUCCACCACAACCACCUUCCCACACUCCAACCCAUCCCAAAAACCCACCAACCCCAAAACAACCACCACACCAUAAACCGCACCCAAAAGCCCCAUCCAAGAACCCACCGGUUAUAUCCCCGCCCAUAGUAAAACCUCCACCGCACCCAAAACCCCCAUCCAAGAACCCACCCGUUAUAUCCCCGCCCAUAGUAAAACCUCCAGUCACUAACCCUCCUGUGACAAUCCCACCCCCUUCCACUCCUUACCCCGGCAGCCCUCCUGGUGGUGGAGGAGGCGGAGGGGGCGGAGGGGGCGGAGGG
rnacentral:lncRNA from 1 species